rnacentral:lncRNA from 1 species
AAGUAAGUUCUCAGAGUUAUUAUGACAUACAAGUGGCAGCAAAACGGCACCCGUUGAUGAUAAUUGUAAGGUUCAUUCAAAGAGGCAUAAACAUAGUUCCAUGUGAGUUGCAACACAAAGAGUUCUAUACAUACGAACCACAUGAUAUUUAUCGUUUUCGUGCACAUUAACAUGUACAGAGGAUGUAUAAACAAGGCUGAACAUAAAAGCUGUAGAUUAGGCCAUUGAAGAUUGAAAGGAAAAAUUAUUUUUCCGCUCUACAGGUAUACAAGCAAAAUAAGUGUCUUGCUCUUCUUUCCCAACAAGGAUUGAAGCAUACAACAGAAGAGCUGACAAAGGCUGAAUUUUGUGAGGCAUGAGAGACGCUAUAAUGACUUUGAACAUUGUAAUACUCAAGCUCACAUUCAGAAGCCAACAAAGAACAAGAUAGAUACAAGAAGCAUCAAAAUCAAGUUCACAAACAACAGCAAGUCUGGAGAAAUAAUUUAUCCUUGUGCCUUUGAUCAAAAUCACAAUUGACCCUCAUUGCACAUUCUUACAGUUCAAGCAAACAUACACUGUGACGCUCGAUAAGCAGGAUACCCUGUUUAUAGUGAUAGUUAUAACCUUAGUUUACAUCCUACUCCAAUACCUUCUCUUACCCUUCCACCACCACUCAAUUAGCAAGAUACCAUGCUAAGUGAAAGUUAUUCGCACAACACCUUACACUGGAUGACAAGAAUAUACAAGCACGGUUACAGGAUUUUUCUUUGUCUCUAGAAAACACUAUAUAAAUGUGAAAGAUUCUACUAUGAAUGGUAAAAGUAGCUAGACCAAGUACCUUGCUUUCAAGGAGAGCUUAAUUCUGUCUCUCUUCUUCUUUUCUUUUUUGCUAUUCAACCAUUUUCUUCAUCUCAUCGAUAAAAUUGCAAACUAAUAAAGCAACAAGAACAACAUUCAAAGCUAACUCUUCCAAUUUCACACAAACAAAUACAUAGAGAAUUCUUUCCGGCAUUUCAUUUACAAUUCAGAAAACCCAUUUAACACCAGACUUCUCCUCUUUCCCAUCACUGGGAAUUACUCAAAUUUUCAACAGGAUAAAUAAAUUUAUAACAUCAACGGUUAACUUUACUUCAAAUUUAUCCCAUAUCGACAGCACAGUGAGGGUGAGAAUACUACUUAAUCAAGUGAGAUGAGAAGUAUGGGCACGACCUUACUUGAACAGGAUCUGUUCUAUAGGCUCGUACCAUUGCAUCCUUGAUUUCUAAGGAGACAGGAAACCAAGUCUGGUGGAUGAAUCAUUGCCAUUAGACUAGAGCGUGAUUAAACAGCACCAGUGCCCCGUUGGGGCUCAUGGGUGCGGUAGAUGAUCGUUCUCAGCUACUACAAUCAUGGUGCCUGAGAUGGUCUAAUGGUUAUCUGACAGACUCUUCCAAAACCUUUUUUUCUUCUUUUUGUUGGUGUUUUGGCAUUACCCUGCUCUGGUUUUUGAAGAUAAGCAAGGCUCCCCAUGGCUUCUGGGCUCAGAGCUGCGAUAAUCGCUACAAUUCUUUUCUUGCAGCUGAACCUAUGAAAUUUCAGAUCUUCCCUUCUCCCUUACUUUUCUUAAUUUCAAAGAAUCAAUUUUGCUUUAUUGUAUUUGUUCUUUUCUUUUUUCUUUUUAUAUAGCCCAAAUGAAUUGUCGAUUUAGCCAAAUUGAAUUUUUACUAAGGAAUUCGGCUAAAAUAUAGAUAAGACGAAUUAAUAUAAUUUAUUAAUAAUCUUAUUAAUCUUUAAAAAAAAAAUUAAUUUAAAUAUAAACUAGUGAUUCAAAAAUAAAACUAUAACUUAAACUAAACUAAUUUAAUUAAAUACUUACUAAAAUUAAAAUCUGCUUGAGAUGAUUUUCAAAUAUUUACGAAAUAUACCAAUUAUAUUUAUAAACUAUAUAAAAACAUAUUUACUAAUUAUAAAUUAUAAAAAAUCGAUUAAGAUUACUUAAAAUGACUUUAAGAAGUAUUUGAAUUUUAUAAAAUAAAUUAUUCUAAAUUGUUUGGAAAUUAAGAAGCUGAAUAACUUUCACGUUUUCACAAGUGGGUUCAUUCAAAUUCUUUGAGAUUGCAUCUACCAAACGCAUUUUACAGUGUCGAAAAUAAUUUUUAUUGUCUCUUGCUAAAUGUUUGUUGUCUAAACAAGGAUUCAAAAAUAUAGCAUUCAAAACAUUUAUCUUUGUUGGAUCAGUUUGUUCCACUUCAUAACAUUCUAAUAUUCUACGAUGAAAUCUGUUAAGACAAUAUAUUUUGAAAGCUCUUAUUAUCCCAGUAUAUUUUGUACUUUAUGUAUAAUAUUUUGUACUUUACGUAUAAUAUUUUUUAAUUUUUAUGUGAAAUCUAUAAAAUGAUACAUAAAUUAAUAAUAAUAUAUAAUGAUUUUAAUAUAAUCAAAAAUUAACUUUCAUUAAAUCUCAAAUCAUUCUUUAAAUAAAUAAAUAUAAUAAAUAUUAAUUUAGCGAUUAAAUAAUAUCUCUAUAAAAUAAUAAAAUUUCAUGAUUCUCAUUCUUUAAAUUAAUAAAUAUUAAUUUAGCGAUUAAAUAAUAUUUCUAUAAAAUAAUAAAAUUUCAUGAUUCCACCUAUAUUAAUUUAUAGAGGUUUUAGCGAGCGUACUCAUAAAAGGCGACGAUGGUGAGGUUUUAAUCAGAUAAAAUGUAUUCAAAACUUUCUGCAAAGCGAGCUUCAUCCCAUUAUAUCAUUAUGCAUCAAUUUUUGGUCAAUUUUGUAUAUACAUCUUUCAAAUCAUUAAGGUCAUUCUUAUAUAUUUCUCUGUUAAUGAAAGAAAACAUUUCAUCAAAAUUAUUUUAGGAAUACAAAGAAUAAAUCGCUGAAAUAAUAGAGCCUGUGGUUGUGGUGUAUUAAUACGUUUGUGGUAACAGGAAGCAUAUGUUUGUUGUUUAAACAAGGAAAUACAAAUAAUCUACUCUACUCAAAUUCAACUCAACUGAGCAGUAUUUAUGAUCAUAACGAAGUAAAGAAAUACUAUUAGUUUAUGUAGAGAGGUGAAAUGAAAACGAACUAAAUGUGCGGAGUAUUCAUAAUUUUUGGUAUACCUUUGAAAGUAAAUGUGGUUUUGUUAUGAAUGAGAGCAUGGGCUCCUCUGAGGCCAUCCAGGACUCGUAACGUUCUUCGCUGAAGAUGGUAAGCCAAUACUCCUCUCCGCAGCCAACUUAUUAUCAAUUCCCCGUUUAACAUGCCAACCACUCUUACCGCUAAAUUGAAAGAACCAUUCAAGUGAUAUAGCUUAGUAUCAAGAAUGAUUGUCUCACUACUUGAACUCCAUCUGUAUUCAUCUUCCAGAUCCCACAAUUCCAACUUUACUAUUUCUUCAGCGUCAAAAGUCAUCACACAGAAUGACAGCACCUUUUCCUUUUCUAUGAGAUCCAUCCGAACAUUCUCUUGUUCUAAAACUUGGCAACAAUAUCUCUCUCCCGGAUGUGAUAUCACAUGAAAUUCUUCCUUUUUAAUGUCAAAUACGAUCACAUACACUCCGCAACAACCAUCAUUUCCCGACGGAUGCAUUUGCUCAGCCAUCCAAUAAAUAGCAUCUGUUUUCACAAUAGGAGCAGGGCAAGUUGGCGUAGGAAAUAACAUAUAAUUAAGCUUUCUCCAUCCCCUUUCAAAAUCCACCUCAUUCGAUAAAACCGACCUAAUUCUAAGUAAUAUGAAUUCUUGAUCGGUUGUUCCCAAAUAUCUACCCCCAAUGCCGUAAUAUUCCUUGUGGACUGGAUGGUAAUAGAGUGCAAUCACAGUAGUAUGUGGGAUUUGAAAACUAAGUUGUACUCCAGUUAUAGGGUUGAAGAUUACAUGCCUCAUUUGGGAGCCGUAAUAUAUAACUAGGAGCAAACCAUGAUACGAAAAGAUAUCACUCAACGAACAAUUCAAUACUUCACAAGUGCAAGUACGUCUCAAUUUUUUCUUCCUUUUAAAAAUCCCUCGACUCUUUUUAUACCAAUCAUCGAUAAACAGUAUGUUUAUGCCCCACUCCUCUUUACCGUAUUGGCGCACAAUAACUCUACGGACGGCAGCACCGCCAUUUAAAUACAUGUCGUUGAAUUGUGGCGUCGAGAUUAAACAAUUCCAUUUUUUUGCACACUAGUUGGCAACGGAGCAAGUCUUCUGCAGAGAGUCCGCACAGAAUUUUAACCAAUAUAUCAUCAGGAAGAAAAAGACUCUUAUUUACUUGAAAACAAAACAAGCAAGACGAAAACAUCAUGUAUCAUUAAACUGUUACAUCUUAUUAUUUCUUGGGCGUUAUAUAAGAAAAUGGCAUAUAAUCGAUAAAUUAUAAGGGCAUUAGGUGUAAAAUAGAAUUGGAGUAGGACUCUACUACUUUGUAGUUAUCUAUAAAGAGAAAAAUGAACUUUAGAUAAUUAUAGCUCUUACCUCAUAAGCUCUACUCUUUCUACGGAUUCAUCAACUUUGUUACCGAUCUCAUAGGCACUUCAACAGGUCAAAAACAAUUUACCACCUUAUUUUUAGGAAAAUCAAACUUGUCAAAAUAGUUUACCACCUUAUUUUUAGGAAAAUCAUUUGUAAGUGUAAACUAUCUUUAUGAUUUAAAAGGUGGGUAAGAUUCUCCAUAAGAAUUUUAUUUAGGAAAAACUAUAUAACUAUCCUAAGUACUAUAUUUACCUCUAGUUUGAACAAUUACAUCAUUUUAAAUAUUUAUAUCAUAUAUUUCAAAAAAUUUAAUAGAUAUACAAAUCUCUUAAAUAUAAUAAUUAAAAAAUUAUCUUAAAUUUAAACUUCUUAAUUAAUGAUCCAAAUGAACAAGUCAAAUUUUUUAUCUUCACAUAAAUCGCAUCUCAGGAUGUCGUUCCCCACCCAACUCGUCCACCAACCCUUUUCUUCCUUCAUCUUCUCUCUUUCUUCCUUCAUCCUCUGAAUACAUUUUUGCAUCUUCAAAUCAAUAUUAUACCUAAUGUUCAAAUCAAUAGUAUACCUAAUGUAUCUUGGUUUUAUAUUUGAGUUAAAGUUUAUAAUGUUCUUAUGUUCAAUUUUAAAAAGCUAUUCAAAUUCAAUUUUAUAUUUUAUAUUUUAUGAUUUCUGAAAUACUUUAAAUGGUUGGCUAUUCUCAAAAUCAGAUUAUUGUUAUUAAGGGGGCGUUUGGUAGGCUGUAUUAAAAAAAAAAAAUCUAUGUAUUAGAAGUGUAAUAAUUUAAUACUGUGUUUGGUAGGAAUGUGAGACUAUGUAUAACUAACCCAUGGAUUAGUUAAUACAUCUUACAUGCAUUAGCUCUAAUACCAUGGGACUAUUCUAGGUAAAGACAAAAAUACCCUCAAAUUCUUUUAAUAUUUUAUUUAUUAUUUUUUGAUUUUAUAUUUUAUAUUUAUACUAAUAAAGAUAUUUAAAUAAAUUAGCUUACAAAUUUUAUUAUUUAGAUAUAAUUUUUUGUUUCUAAAAUAUGAAUUACUUAAUCUAUUUAUUAUUAAUAUAAAUAUUAUAAUUCGACUAAUAUGUUAAUGUUGAUGUAUGAAUUUAAGAACAAUUCAUAAGUAAAAUAUUGUCUUUUAAUGAAAGUUCAUUAAACAUUACACAAGUAGUCUAUGAAUUUAAGAACAAUUCAUAAGUAAAAUAUUGUCUCUUAAUGAAAGUUCAUUAAACAUUACACAAGUAGUCUAAAACAAGAGUGUAUACAUACACACACAUCUGAGUAUAAAAAUAGUUUAAUUUAUUCUUCUAUAUUUAUUUUAUAUUUUUAUUUUGUUUUAUGAUAAAGAGUUUUUUAAAAUUUAUUGAUACAAAACAAAGUUCAAUAAAUUUUCUCUAUAAUCAUUAUAGUUGUGUGACCUUUUUGAGUUAUUAACUCUAAUUUAUUAAGAUGACAAUUAUUUACUCUCAAAUAAUUUAAGUGACAAAAUAGUGAACAUGACAAUAAAAUUUUUAUUCUCCUAACUAGUUGAAAAUGUUAUAAAAAAAUAAUAUUCUCCGUUAAGUAUCUACUUUGACUCAAUUACAUGAAAUACAAAAUCUCUUAAUAACUUUAGGGUAUAAUUGGAAAGUUUUUUUAAAAAUUUUUUUUAAACCACACAAAAUUAGAUAAGAAACAAUGAACCAAACACUUGAUAAAAAUAAUCCCUGCAUUACUAAUUCUUGCAUUGUUAAUCCCUGCAUUAUUCAUUUUUGUACCAAACGACCUCUAAAGGUACUACACAUUAACAAUACUAUACUAAUUCAAACAAUUUUAUUUGUUAUUUUCACUCAUAAGUUUCUCAUUGCAAGACAGACUCUUCAUCCGUUAGUAAUUAAGUCGAGAAUAGAUCUAAGUAUUGAAACUGCUUAAUCAGGGAAGAAUUACGUCAAGCUUUACUUAACAUAACACAUACAUCAUAUGAUAUGCAACAAUGUUGGAUACACAUCAUGUAUCUAGUUAAGAGUUGAUGUAUCUGAGAUACAUGUUUUUGAAUAUAUGUAUGAAAUUGAUGUUUGAUACAUUAAAUUAAUACUAGAUACAUGAAAUUAAAAUUAGAUCAUAUAAAUAGAUACAUAGAAUUAAUAAAAGACAUAUAUAACAAAUACACGAAAUUAAUACUAGAUACUUCUAUAAUAUAUAUGAUGUACUUGUAAUAAAAAUAAAAUCAAUAAAUUUAUUAUUUCAAAGAAUGAUACAUAAAUAAUAAAUGAAAUUAAUGAGACAUAAAUACUCUCCUUGAUUUCUUCCCUAUAUUAAGAGAUUUGAUUAAUUUGAUAUCGAGAAUUAAUUGUCAUGUACUCUAAAAAUCAUCAAUUACUCCUUUAAUUAAGUAAAUUAGUUAUAAGUAAUUAAUUUAUAUUAAAAAAAUCGACAGAUACAUGUAUGUGGCGGAUUCAAAAUCAUGUUCCUAAGCUUAAAAUAUGAUAUGAAAAGUAAUAUUUGAAACUAUCGAGAGUAUUUAGAACCUAAACUAGUGUAAUUUAUGUAAUUUGCCUUUACAUAAUUUAGUGACUUUAGUAAGAUAAAAUUAUAUCAAUUUACUGAUUAUUAUUGCUAUAACUGUUAAAGUUUAAUGACCACACAUGAAAUAAAUCCGAUGAAUAUAUUUCAUCAUAAUUAUAAGAAAAUUAAAAGAGACGUCUUCCUUCCUGAAUAGCAACUGAAUUUGUUUAAUUAUAUUAAUCAAAUCUGUGAGGAUUAAAUACAUUCUAUUUUCAUGGAUAACUUUUUAAAUCAUAAUUAUUGCUUAUAAGAAAAUGAAAAGAGAUGUCUUCCUUCCUAAAUAACAACUGAAUUUGUUUAGUUCUAAUAAUCAAAUCUGCGUGGAUUAAAUAAAUUCUAUUUUCAUGGACAACUUUUUAAAUUCCCUCUUUCUGUGCUACCAACAAUUAGCUUUUGACAUAAGUAGAGCGGCUGAUUUGUUAAAACAAAGGAUAUGAUCAUAUAAAGUUCGGUAUUACUAGAAAGGAUGGUAGUAAAUCUCCUUAUUGCAAAAUUGUUUAUAUGUUAAAACCAAUAAAUAUAUAAUUCACAUAUUUUGCUCAUUAUGUAACGAUAUUUCAAAAGAUUCACCAAUAGACAAACUUGGGAAAAGUUGACUUGCAUGUUACUGGUGUGUGUGAAAGGAAAAAAAACAAUAGAAAUAAUAUAAGAUGAGGUAAACCAAUUAUAUAUUAUAUUCGUUUUGUGAAUGAACGAAAACAAUAAGCAUACGCUCACUGCGUGUAAAUAGAGUUGUUCACUCUUUUUUAAUAAUGUUACAUGCGGGGAGAAAAUGUGAAGUAAAAGAGUAACAACAUUCUUCUAUCCCUCUAAUUUCUUUGCAAUUUUUCAAUCGCAAUCUGGAAUUACACUAUUUUUAGGUGAACCAACAGCAUCUAAUUGGGGCGGAGGAAGGCAUCAGCGAGCAUCUGUCCAAGCUGAAUUUGUGCAGCAGUAGUAAGGUGCGUGUAAUCUGGUCCGAUCUGCAGGCCUUUGGCAUCCACAUAUUUCAAAUUCCCAAUAUUUAUCUCACGCUGAGCUUCCCUCACCAGCUCCAUGUAUGGCCCUAGUGCUGUUGCAAUUCCCACCUGCACCAUCCAAAAAAAAAAUAUCCCACCUUAUCUCUUCGAUCACACGUUUAUGAGUCACUGCACCGACAUUUGUUUUUUGAAUUUUCCUUUAGAUAAAUUCAAUUAUGUUUAUCAUCAUCUAAUAAAAGUCAUUCAAAUCAUAAGAAAUGAAACUGGGCUAGCUAGUUGUGAUGAGGAAAAAAAAAAGGGUUAAUGGGACCUUACGCAUUCUCAUAUUUUAUUUCAGACCCGAAUCCACGAUCUUCAGAUUUAUUUCAACUCCAAAAACACUAGUCAAUUUUUUUUAAUGAAAAAACUCGUCAACUUCAAAUGGCCAAAAGAUUGUUAAAGGAAAACAGAGCAAACGUUCUAGGCCACAGCUAGGAACAAAGAUGGUAAACUCAUAGUAUUUGCAUAUAUCCAAUAAUUUCCUCAAAGAAGACAUACCUGAAUCACAGUUAAGUUAGGCAUUCCCAGAUCGUGGCGCACAUGGUUGAAGAAUCUCUCCAAUCUGACCUUAUACAUUUUGGCAUCUUCAAGUGUCUUUGUAUCACUCUCACCUUGGAACCACAACAAUGCCCUGAUCUUUCCGCCGCCUCGAGUGGCCGCUUUUGUCCUCUUUAUCAUACUCCUGUAAAGGAAGCCGCCUGGAGCCCAUUCAGUAAUACUCGUUCCUCCAACAGCACAAGGAACCAACCCAAUUACUCCAAUACUUGGAUCUUUUUUCAAAACAGUAUUGGCAAAUGGCAUCCCUGGACCAAUCCCACAAGUGUUGUUCACAUCUAUGUCCUUAUGAAGGGGUUCAUGAGCCUCAACCCAUUUAAGUCCUCCACUUAGUCGGAGGAUUGAUGGGUUGGACUCGCACUCACGUGGGAUGACACCAUCCCAUGACUCAUUAACUACUCCGGGACGGAGUGAGUGAUUAAUCACUCCGCCUCGACCGGAAAUGUUGCUCUGCCCUGCUAAAAUGAAUAUGUUUUUAACUAGUGAAUAAUUUCCUAGAUCUGCUGUCGUUACCCAACCAGCGUGUGCUAAAAUCAGCAAUAACAGAUAAGGAAGCAUUGUUUUUCUGUGAUAAAAGGAAUUCAAAAUAAUCUUUUAUAGAUUAGAUCUAGAAAACUAUGGGCUGAGAGUGGGGUGUUGGGAAUAGAGGGCGAGCUAUUAAGCAAAAGUGAUUGGAUCCUUUAUUGAAAGGACUACUUUAUGCAGCCCCACCACUAACAUACAAAUUUCAAAGCGGUACCACUGCACUGUACAGCGUUUUUUCAGUAAUCAUUUUCAUUUUUAUAAACUUAUCAGCGGUACUGAGGAGCCCGUGAUAGAUAAGCAACUUUGAUUUAUUAGGCCGUCUAAAAAAGUACAACUCUGAUUCAUAGAUAAUAGAUUGAUAUAAUAAUAAAGUUCUGUCAAGCAGCGUUAUAUUACAUAAAAUAGUAAAAAGAAAAAGUGAAAGGGUUAAAUUAAGAGUGACUUAAUAAGGUUAAAAUAUGUAUUUUAAUUAACGGAGUGACUUAAUAAGGUGAAAAUAUGUAUUAAUUGAUGAUAAUUAGUUGAGAAAUGAGAGCCUCAUGACAAGCAUUUCCUCUUAAAUGGUGCUCAGAGUAUCCAUCCACAUAUGUCCUCCGGAAGAGGUUUACAAAGCUCAGUUUUGGAAUAUAAGGCAACAAAGAAUGAACCGUACUCAUCAUCUUGUCUAUAUCUAAAAUCUCAACUUAUCUUCUGUUUUUACUUCUCAUUGUAAAUGCAUACAUGUUGUUUCUCCUUUCUACAACUUAUAUUUGAUUAAAACUUAUAUUUUGCACACUUGUUGGCAACGGAGUAAGUCUUCUGCUGCACAAAAUUUUAACCAAUAGAUCAUCUGGAAGAAAUUCACAGUGAUUUUUUGGAAAACAAAACAGGCAAGAACAAAACAUUUUAUCUAAUUUCUUGCCUAUUAUAACAUAAGAAAAUGCCAUAAAUUAUAUGUUUAAUUUGAAUAGGUGUAGGAGUAUGUAGUUAUCAAGAAAAUGCACUUAAUUAGGGUAAUUUGUAUAGCUCUUACUUAGAUAGCCCUUAAACUUUACAUGUUCUAUGAGAUAGAAGACACAAACUUUGUUACCGAUCACAAAGGCACUUAAGAGGUCAAAAUAGGUUACCACCUAAUCUUUAGGAAAAUCAUUUGCAAGUAAAAACUAUGUUUAUGAUUUAUUUUUUUUGCCCUUUCUUUAUUUUAUUUUUUAUUUUUUACAAUUUUUUCCUGAAACAUACAAAAGAGAAUAUUUUUUGUGCUUUCUUUUGUUAUAAUUUUUAUGUUAACAGUUUUAUCGCGAAACAUACUAAUGAAAAAAAAGUUUAGUUAAAUUUUGAUAUUGGUAAAUGGGUAUCACGAAUUGCGUUUUUGUGGAGUCCUACGAUCAAACAAUUUUUGAGUUUUUCGUUAUUAUUACCUUAAUAAGGCUCAUGCUUAAUUUUUUCAUACGUAUCUUUUAUUCUUAAAACACAUAAAGCAUUAAACUUCAAAUAAUAUUAUUAUUGUAAAGAUUGAUUUGAAUUAAUAAAAUGUUAGUCAUGUGUUUGUAAAAAAGUACUAAAUAUAAAAGUACAAUUGAUGGUCAAAUUUAUUAGGUUUAACUAAUUUUCUUGUAUAAUUUAUUAAAAUGCCCAAAUUCUUUUACAAAUAAAAACUAAAUUACAAUAUAGCGAAAAAUAAUUGUUUUAAAUUACAAUAGUCAUGAUAAUCAGUUUUGAAUUCUUUUCUCUAUCGGGAAGAAUGAAAGAAAAAACAAAAAUGAGAAUAAAAAAUUCUAAUAAUGAUAAUCUAAAAAUUCAAGAAAUUAUUUUAUGUAUAAAAAAGAAUAAAAUAUACUUUGAAUCUUGCUAGGUGGAUAUUAUAUAUUCGUACAUGAUUAUUUACAAAAUUAAAAGUCAGACUCCGUUACAUGAAGGAUAUAUGUGAGCACCUUUUGUAACAAUAGAGAUAUAGUGAGUCAUUUGUAUAAUAAUAAGUAUAUAUUAACUUCAAAUGACAAAUUUGAGUGUAUGUCAUACCUUUUUCCCCUUGUGAAAUAAACCAUAAUAAUAUAUACCUCGGACCUUGUUUCAAAGAUAACUUUAAAUAGGCAAACAAGUUGGGUCUAGCCAGCCCAAAUUUGCUGCCCAGAAAAUGGAUUUGAGGCUACAAAAUAAUUUUGGACUUCUACAUCAUCUUUUCAAAAACUAACUUAAGCAAUUUGGACAAAAUUGAGAAAGGGGGGCCUUUUGUAACUAAAGUUUAAAAACUUUUCAAUUGGUUUUUUAUUCACAUAAAAAUCUGCAUUAUUAUUCUUAAAUAAUGAUGACCACGAGCUAGUUCUAAAGGGAAGAGAGAAAGUCGUCAAUUAUUUAUAAUCAUCCUUGAAUUUAAGCAAAAGUCAUACACACAUGAAGUCAGUAACAAUAAUCACAAAAAUUAUAAGUAUUUUUAUGAAUGAAGAAACAAAAAAAUGGAGUCCAAUACCUAAUACUAGGCCACUUAGGCUAUGAACUUACAUGGACCAAAUGUGUUUGUAAGCCCAAAUGUGCUUUUAAACCAAAAUUGAAUUUCAAGUGCAACUCUAACUCACAUGUGUACAUAAAAGAUAAAAGAAAAAAUAAUAAUCAAAUAUCUCACUUUUUAAAAACUUAAUAGCGACUAAAUACUGUGAACGGUAUAAACCAAAAAUGCAAUUAAACAUUGACCAAUUUAUCGCAUAGAAAAAAUUACAAGUCAGGUUAAGUCAAUAAUUUCGAAUGUUAACCAAAAAAAUAAAAAAUUCCAAUGUAGUUUGGUGCUCUUGCAUACUAACGGAUUUCUCUAAAAAUCUUUAACAACAACAUGGUUGAACAUUUGGGAUUAGUAUACAAUAUAAUACAUUUAAAUGAGUAUUAGUGGUAAGCAUCGAUCAAAUCCUAUUCUAAUUUAUUUCUUAAAUAUAGUCUAAUUAUAAUUAAUAAAAGGGAUUAGUUAUUUCAAUAAUUAUUUGUCGAAACGCAGUGUUAAAAGGAAAGUGAUUUGAAUAUAAUUUGGAUCUGAAAGGAGUUAUAUAUACAUGAGAGCAAAUUACUUACAAUCAUGUCCUUUGAUUAGCCAAAUCAGCCAUUCUACUAAUUAAGUCAAAUGUUGAUGCAACAGAAAAACUGUGUAUGAUAGAUAGAACUAAUUUGGUAAGAAAUAACAUGACAAGCUGAUCGACAUGAAAUGAAAAUACUUUUAUUGUGGGAAUAGAAUAUGAAGUGUAUUCAGAUUUAUCUAAAGCCUAUAUUAACUGAGGAAACAUAAAUAAAUAAAUUUGACCAUUAAAAUAAUAAAUAUUCUGAUAAUAAAUAUAAAAUUGUAAACAAAACAGCUGAUGGCCCAAUUGUGAUUUUUGGGCCAAAGUUGAGUUUCAAGAGAAACUCCAACUCUCCAAGUGUGUGCAUAAAACAAAAAAAGAGAAAAAAAAAAGAAGAUAAAAUAUCUCAUACUUUUUAAAACAUAGACCAAUUUAUGCAUUUGAUGAGUGCAUAGAAUUUCUUUUUAAGUUAUGUUAAGUUAAAUACCUUGAGUUUAAUGUCCGGAGUAUUUUGACACUAUUGUAGUAACGAAUUUUGUAUGUAUUACUAGGAAAAUGAAUUUGCCCAUUUUUCCGGGUCUCAAAGGAACGCGUAAAUGCAUAAGAACUCUUGAAUGGAAAAGAGAUGCAAUUCUAGUUCCUCCGAAAUCGGUAGUCAAGCCUAUUUUCGAUAGGGACAAUUUACAAUUUAUCCGUUAUUUUUGUACUGGUAAUAAUACGAAAAGAAGAUUCAACUCCAAGUUGUUCUAUAAUAGUGACAUUGAGUUUCUCGACUCUUUGACCUAGGAUUAGUCAAAUCUAUUUCUUAAUGACCCGGGGAGGGGAUAUAACUCAGCAAUAGAGUGUCACCUUGACGUGGUGGAAAUCAUCACUUUGAGUCUAAUUUUCUCUAAGCCCGAUAUAAGUUUUUCUAGUUGAAUUUGCUCUCCGCGGUCGUUCAAUGAGAAUGGUAAGAGGUUGAACAUUUGAAAUUAAUGUACAAGUCAUUUAAAUGAGUUUUACCCACUCUGGUCAUCCCUAACACCUAGUGAGUAACGGCUAUGCUAAAUUUUAAUACAAUACUUUAGAAUAUUAACUUCGGAUUUGCUUGGACUGUUACGUAUACACCUUUGAAGAUAAAUAUUUUUCCCAAUAUAUACAUUUUCGAGAGUAGAUUAUGAAUAAAAUAAUAAAUAUUAAUGUGGAGGAUCAUGAAAUGGUAAACAAUUUCCGCAUUUAAAAGCAAAAAUGUUUCUUCAACAAACUAUAGUUAAAAAGUUAUUUAUUUGAUGAGAUGGAUAUUGAAUAUAAAUAUUGCAACUGCCUAUUUUUAUAGCGAAUUAAUGAAAUCCGUUGUUAAUAACUUAUAGAAAAAGAUUAUUAAGGUAUGAUAAAAAUAUGUACUUAAUUUCAUAUUAUUGUAACAAUUAUAAGUUACAAUAACUGCAAAGAAAAAAAGAUGUUCUAUGAAAUUUGGUGUGAUCUCAUUUUGAUUUGAUUUUUGUGAUUUUUUUUAUGUUUACCAUUUUUUUGUAUUUUAAAUUGAAAUAAAGAAAAAAAUGUUCUAUGAAAAAAAAUUUAAUAUUCAACUAAGGUUUUAUAAUUAACUUAUUUAUUAUAAAUACAAUAAGAUUUACUUCAAUUUUGUAUGGGUAUGACAACCAAAUAGUUUCUUCCAAGAGCAAACAUCUAUAUUAAUCUAGUCCUAUUAGUAUGUUUGUAAAUUUGAGCUAUUUUCUGAAAAAUCUAUUUGCACAAUCUGUACAGAUACGAUUUUACCUCAUAUUGUUAAAGCUAAACUAUUAAAAAAUAAAUGUUCAUUUGUCUCAACAUUCUAACUAUAUAACAUACAAGGUUACAUUUUUAAUAUAUAGUUUAUUUACUAUAACUAAUCUGAUUAUCAACUUAAUAUAACUCAUAUGUAAUUUUUACAUAUUAUUUUUAGUAUAGAUUUCUUAAAACAAUCAUAAAACAUUUUACUUUAAAUAGUAAAAUUAUUAUUGUAAAGAUUAAUUUGAAUUAAUAAAAUGUCAGUUAUGUGUUUGUGAUAAUUAUCUUAGAUGUUGUUAUAAAAACUUUCUAUAUUAAUAUAAAAGUUUGAAUAGUGUAAUCUAGAGUUCUAAAAUAAGUCAAUUUUUUAAAAAAACACACAUAUAUAUAUGUGUGUGUGUUUUAUAGCAUACAACUUAAAUUUUAUAUAACUCCAAUUUUGUGUUAUAGCACAUGGAUAGAGGUUUUUAUAUUCAAUUUUCACCAUACUAUUAUUACGUGUUUGACUCAUUUAAGAAUAAAAUAAAACCCAUAUAUAUAUAUAUAUAUGAGUGUGUUGAGUAAGAUAAUUAACUAAAGUGUGAUCAAUACAAGAGAAAAAGAAAUAGAAGACUAACAUAGAAACAUUCAUGUUGUUUUCACAAAUCAACGUCCACACACGACGUAUUUCUGCUCCGCUAUUCUUUGUUCUUUUAUCUAUUUAAAUUAUCAUAACCGAAAUAUUAAAAGUGAGAGGCUUCUAAAUGAAGGAGAAUGAAGAAAAAGGGCUAUGAAAUAAAACAGAAGAGAGGGUUUAAGAGAAAUUUUAUACACUACUAAGCUUAAUCAUUUUUGUGGUGUAUUUUAAUAAGUAUCUAAAUAGUAAUAACAACAAAUAGUUGUAUGUUAAUUCUUAAAAUAAUAAUAUUUCCGAUGGAGAAAAAAGAAAAAGAAGAGAAGGGAAUAAAUAAUAAAAGAAUAAAACGAAAACAAGAGUGUAAUGGAGUAGUUGGGACAUAGAGAAGAAAAUAAAUUAUGAGGAGGUACAUUUUAUUAGACUUUGAUGAGAGAUGGAUUAGAUAUAUUGCUUAGGUAAUUAUAGUAGUUUUCUAUUAAAACUCUUUAAUUUCACCCCUCUAAUAAGUGUUUAUCAAGACUAAUGAGAAAUCGACAUCCCUCUAAACAUAUUUUUUCUAUUGACAAGACUCAACUCAAAGAGAGUCUUCCCCACCCCAAUUAGAAUCUUUAAUAGUUCAUUAUGGGCAAUAAACUCACUACCAAAAAAAUUUAAAAGUUAAUCAUGUAAAUGUGAGAAGAAAGUCCUUCAUCAUUUGUCCACUACAAAGGGAAAAAAAACCCAUAUAUUUAUGUAAUUAUUUAAGAUAAGAAAGGGGGCAGCCCUUGGCAUUUCAACGACAAAGCUUUGGGUAAUUGAUGAAAGUUAAUUAAAGUCCUUAUAAUUAAUAAGCUUUUUUUAGAUAACGGAAUCUAUUAAAAGGAGUGUUUUAGACACAUUAUUAUAUUAAAAGUGUAACACAAAUAACAAUAACAAUGAUUAAUCUAACUUGCCUUCUUCUUAAGGCUAAUUUUUUUAUUUUAUUUUUCCUGUUAGCUUCUAUCACAUCUUUUUCAACUUACAACUGCAAAAAGGUUAGUUAAAACUCCUUUUGUUUAUAUUUAUUUGGCGGGUUAGUUAAGUCUAUUAAAUUGACUAAUUAAAGUGAUGGAUAAAGCAGUGUAUUAGCACUAAUUAAUCAUUUAAUAUGAUUUUAAGUUUCCAUUUAUGGUAAGAAAACCUUGUGUUAUUAUGCCUUGUUGCUCUAAUGGUUUGAACUUUGACAUGACAUGACAUGAGAUAAUUAAGAUUUUAGUUAUUAAAUAACUAAUCUUAUAAGGAUAAGCAUGUGAUUAUGUUUCCUAAAAAUGUGAAAUGUCCUGUAUAUAGGCUGGAUUAACGUCAUCUCAUCUUCAAAAUGGACCCCCUUACAGUAAAUAAAUUCUUUUCAUUUAAAUGCUCUACAUGACCGACAUGGAAUGUUUUUUUUUAUAUCAUAAAAAAAUUUAAGUGGUGUUAAAGUAACAAUUUAAUCCACAAAACUUGUAUGAUCAGAAUUUCACCUCGUCACGAGAAAUAAAUAUUUUACAUUUUUAGAUGAAAAAGUGCAGUCACUUCCAAAAAGAGAGAUUAGAUGAAUAUCUUUAUUGUCAUCAUUAAUUAUAACUAAUUACAAUCAAGAAAAAUAGUAACAAUAGUAAAAGAAUCAUAUUUCUUCUAGAGGAUCCUUCUUUUAAAUGAUACAACUUUUUUUUUAAAAAAAGGGAUAAUCUUGAAAUUGUAGAUGUGUGUGUCUUAAUGAAAAUUUUCUUUGAGGGUUUGUAUUAUUAAAUUAUUCUUAUUUACAAUACUUAAAAUUUUAAUUAAAAACUUUUCUUUAUUAAUUUUUUUUAAUUAUUUUUAUGGCUUGAGAAACUAACUCUAAUUUCUUCUCAACCCUUCUUCUUGAAAGGUGGGGAAAAUAAAUUUAAAAAAAAGAUUUUAAAAAAAUAAAAUAAAAUCAAAGGGUGAAAAGGUGAUUAAGAAAGAAGGGCAGAAGGGAGGAUGAAAUAGACAUUGACAACUGUUUAGUAAUAAUCGAAUUAAUGAAUUUAAUGGAAAAAAUUAUCUUAAAAAGUAAACAUAUCGAAAGCAAUUAAGUACACUAAUUAAGAUUUAAACAUAAAGUGGAAUCCCAUUAUAUGUGUUAUUGUUGUUCUUUCUUGUCAAUUAGUUGUCCUUCAUUGUAUGUAAAUAGUGUUUAAUUAGUAAAGAUAACUCAAAAAAGCAUCACUUCCAUUUAUUCAAGGACACAAAGAUUAUGUCCCCUUACUGCUAUAGCCUUUUUAAUAUCUUUCUUAUAAUAAUCUUCAUCAGUUUCACUUCAUAUAUAUACUUUCACAUCACCACUUAUAACUUCCUUGUAAAGCUCUUUGAUUUUCCCAAAACUUUAGUUUUAUCUUCAACCAUCAUUUCUUGUCCUCCUUUUUUUAAAAAUUAAUAAUAAUUAGAGAAGAAAAAGAGAAAGAAAUUAUGAGGCGGAAAAUUAAAUGUUUAACCGAUAAAACAAAUAUUUAUAUAAUCAAUCAAUUGAGCUAUUCAAAUUUUCUUAUUUCUUACCUAUUGUCCUUUUCACGGUUUUCAUCGAUAACUAUUUUCUUUCACUAUUAAUGAAGAUUAUAUCUACUUAUUCUUAAGCUAUCUACUCAUUGUUUAGUGGAGAUGCACGCUUACCUUUAAUUAGAUUUUUAAGCAUGUGCAACUAUGUAAAUUAAUAUUUUUUUAUACCUUGAUGUAUAAUAAGAGAUUAAUUAGUAUCAUUUGUCAAUGUAAUUAAUUGUUAACAAGAGAUUAACAAUCAAAAAAAUUAUUUGUUAAAAUAUUAAUAGUAAGAAUCUAUCAUCAUUAUCCUCCUAAAAUUAUGUGUGACAUUUUCUCUACAUAGGCUUGCAAUUUACUGAAUCACAAAACAUAUAUAUUAGAUUUGUAACUUAUUUUUUCUUUUUGCAUUGCAUGAUGACAAGUUGACAAGUGAGAGAGGGGAAGGUGGAGAAUAGAUAGAAAAAGGGAAGGGUACAUUAAUCAUCGGCAAGUGUGUUUCAAUCAAAUCAAAGUUUUAUCAUAAUUAAUCACACAUGAUAUUUAAUAUUCUAUUACAUAAUUUUAAUUUUAAGUAUCUCAAAUUAAACUUUGACAAGUCAUAUCGCUUAGACAUAGUUGAGUGAUUACAAAAUGAAAUCACAUCUUGUACUCAUUGAUUUCAUAGAAACAUGGAGUGUAGCUAAAUAAUUUCAAUUCUAUUUCUUAUAGCAGCACAUCUUAUUAGAAAACAAGAAUUACAUAAUUAGUGGGUUGGUAGGGAAGGGGCCAAUUUCACACAAUUAAACGUUAGAGAGCAACUGCUGUUACAGAAUUAAGGGUGUUUCCAAAAUUAUGAAUUUGGCUUCUCUCUAUUUUCAUCAAGUUUUUAUUUAAGUUUCAGAAAUUACAAAAAUAAAACAUAAGAAAGUUCUAUAGUUAUAAUUUUAAUAAUUGUGCUCCAUAUAGCUAAUAGUUCUGUUUGCUAUGGUCUAUGGAGAUUGUAUGUAUAUUUCUUGCUCGUUCGUAGAUUUUGUUUGCAAAAAUAUAAACAUGGUAAGUAUAUACAAAUUAUAUAUUUGUAUAUUUAGAAAAUUUUCAAGACUCCAUUUAUAUAUUGCAUUUGGCAAUAUAUAAACAUAGUAAUCUAUUAUGAAUUUUUCAUAAAUCAUAUACAAAUAACUAAUGUAAGCAUAUAUUAGUUAUGAAUUUAUACAACUAGAAAAUCGAUUAGUGAAAUUUUGCAAAGAUAUAGCUACAAAUUAAACAUAAUCAAAAUUAUACUUAUAUUACAUAAUAUACUCUAGAUGACUGUCAUUUCCGUAAUUUUUCCAAAAAUUAAUUGUUAAGAUUAAAUUAAAAGAAGGCCCUAACCAUGAUUUAGAUGUUUGAUAUUUCAUAAAUUUCUUUCAAUUUCUUAGUAAUUCCACAAUUAUGGAGAUAUAUAUUAUAGCUCUAUUACCAACUCAGAAUCCAUAAAAGAACUUUAUUAGUGAUAUAGGUAAAAGGUGUUAUUGCCUAAAUUAAUUUUUUUGCAAAAGAGAGAAGGUAAAAAUUGAUUUUUUUAUAAAAAAGAAAUAAUUAAAUUAUCUAAACCACUACUAGGGCUUUGUUUUUUGGUAAAUUAAAUCUUAAUAUUAAUAUUAACUUAUGUCAUGUGUUCUCAAUCUGCCAGGAAAAUGAAAAAAAAAAAAACUUGAAUUUAAGAAUCUAGACCAAAAGUAUUACCUACGUAUUAUCCGGUAUAUCUAAAAAUUUCAGAAUCCUAAUUUAUUACAUUUUCUUCGCCAAAAUCUAAAAAUUUGGAUACUCUUUUUUUUUAUUAUUAUUAUUUCGCAAUGUUACGUUAAAAAGGUGAUUUGGAUGAAACGUCGUGUUGUUUAAUUGACGCGUAGCACAGCAACGAUGGGGCAAAGGCAUGUUCGAAAGGGGCAAAAUAAUUUGAUUUGGAAUUUGGAUGCGUCUUGGAUUUCCCUUUCUAUUCUCGUACAUUGUACAGCUAUACUUCAAUCAUGUAAUAACACACAUAAAAAUUUGACUUAUAUAUAUGUGGUCACUUUUUAAAUAAUUCUUAGCCACACGCUGAAAAUGACAUUCUGAUCUUGCUUCUUUGAAAGCUAUAUGGACUACCCCAUAUUCACAUGUCACACUUCAAUUCUACAUCUACUACAAUUACUUCUUGCCCCUCCCAUAUCUUUAAAUAUAUAUAGGCUCAUAAGCCUACCAAUCAAACUUAAGGCUAAUUUAAUUUAUUCGUUAAUUACAAAGGGCAGGUGAGUUUAAUAUAUAGUAUUUUUGGUGUAAACAAGCUCUCGACUUACCUAACACUUUAUCAGUAGUCGUUUGAUCAUAAAUUUUAUAAAAAAAAAAUCAUUUUAUUUGAAUUUUAUGAAGUUGUACAAGAUGAAUUCAGGCGAUGGCUCCUCUGUUGCAACGAGGAGUACUAGACAACAAUUUUUAAAAUAUUGUGUCAACUUAAUUGAGAAGCAAAACAAGUCGACUCAAAAUGAUAACACUAAGAGGAAAACAGUCGAGUUGGAAGAAAGAAAAUUCUUCAAACGAAUUUAAUUUAAGUGUUUUACAACUAUAAAUAAUAAUGGGAGUAAAGUUAUAGAAAAUAAAAAUAGAAUUAAAAUUUAGUUAUAGUGUUACAUAGUAGGAUAAUCAGUAUAAACUUUUUAUGCGAAAGAUUUUGGGUUUAUUCAAUCUAGGGAAUGAAAACUAAAUUACAACUUUGUGGAAGAUGGAAGACUACUUUUAUGGGUUUUCUUCACCUCCGUUGGUUGGUUGGUCAUUAAACAUGCUUAAUUCAUACUUCCUCGGUUUCAAUAGGAGUGAUUAAGUUUUGUUUGGCACGAAGUUUAGAAAAAUAAAAAAGAUUUUUAAAUUUUUAUGUUUCUAAAUUAAAGUUAUGUUAAAUAUAUCAAAAUAUCUUUUAAUUUUGUGACUCUUAAACAUUUCAUUUGAAAAGGAUAAAUUAAAUUGUUGCCAAAAAAUGAAAGAUAUAAUCUUUUUUUAUUAGACUAAAAAGGAUACUAGAUAAAAAAUGAAUUGAGUUAUGACUAGUCGAAUUUAACUCGUUUAAUCUCGAUAUUUUUAAUAAAUUAUUGUUUAUAUUUUAUAAUCAUGAAUUUAAAUUUCAACUCAAGAAAAUAACUUUAAAAAAAUUUCAAAUAUAAAUAAAUCCUAAAAGAUAUAAGAUAGAUAAAAAUUUGUACGCUCAAGAUAGGGACAUACAUACAAAUAAGGAGUUUUAAAACAGAUAGAAAUUAGACAAUAAAUGUCACGUCCCGAGUCUACACCCUGAGCGGGACUGACACUAAAGAACCAUUGUUGUCCCCAAGCGACCUCUUGGCCUGACUUACUUAGCAAGAGACUUUAAAACACAAGUAAUACUCUCAAACCAGAACUUAUGAAAUAACUUAGAAUGUCUUAAAAGAAACAUUCAAACUAGCCAAGAUGACAACUCAAGUGUCAAAACACAAGUCAAUAAUAAAAUAGUGACAAACGAAAUAACCGAAUAUUUAUAAAGCCUCUAAUAACUAAGAUGGAUGUCGGGACAAGAUCCACGAUAUCCUAAUGAACUAAAUAUUGAAAGCAAUAAAAGGGAUCCUUUAGAAGCAAGAAGGCUCACCAACAACGCUGGAGCUCAACUAAAACUAAUGAUGCCCUGGAUGCUAAUCUUGAUUACCUGUAUCUGUAUCAUUAGAAGAUUAAGUCCAAAUGGUAUCAGUACAUUGAAUGUAUUAGCGAUGGACAAACUAAAACAAGACAUAAGUUUGAAAGGAACUGAAACAAACAAACUUGGUCUUAACUCAAUUGAACUGAACUAAACUAAUUUCAAUAUAAAAAAAGUACAAUACGUAUAGUAUAAAGAAAAGUUUUUUUAAACACAAUUAUUAACUUUGUGUAUUUAGAAAUACAUUAAUACUAUGUGUAAGCAAAGAUAUAAUUUUCAGAUUUUUCAUUCUUUACAAAUAACUCUGUCUAAUUCUAGCUCUUCUUGUUAGGGGGGUGUUACAUUGAAUUAACCUCAAUUGAAAUUGAGUUAGAGUCUCAAAAGUUGUGAUUAAUGAAUCACCUAUAUUUGGUCCCGUAGUGUAAAGUAGCUUCGAGAGCUGAGAGCUUUUGCCGUACAACUUUAGUAAAUGUUAAAGGUUGAUUAGAAAAUGCCAUACCUCUAAUACAAAUAAUUAGGUCGCUAUUAAUAAAGGCAUUGGGUCUAUUUAUGUAUGGAUUCGACCAAUUUUUCAUUUUGGGUUAAUUAGGUCCCUAUUAAUAAAGGCAUUUGGUCUCUUUAUAGAUGAAUUCAACCAAUUUUUUUGUUUUGGGUUAAUUAACUUUUAGGUCUAAGUUAAAUUUAGAUUUAUUUCUUUUUAUAUUAUCGGCUCAAACCAACAAUAUAAACCUUAGAUGCUUUCGUAAUUGGGUUGCCUUUGCCAGUCUUGCUCUUGUUGUAUACGGCUGCAUCAUUCGUCCAGCUACUAAGACCGUUUCUAUGAAAUAAAUUAUAUGAGUUAACUUAACUCAAAUCUCUAUUAAAAAAUUGCAGAAUCAUUCAUUCUGUAUCGAUGUGAGAGCCUUUAAAGCCCUACGUUAUGAUAGAUAUAGAAUAAAUCUUACUCAGUUUUAAAAAAUAACCUAUUAAAGGAGAAUUAAUCAAAUUUAUAUAACGAAACCAAAGGACCCAUCCUCGAUGUGGGAUAUUAAACCGUUUUCACCCUAUUUCCUUUAUAGAUUACAUUAUUAGAAACACGGACAUAUAUUCAUAUUAAUUUACCAUUUUAAAGUUAAAUCAAAUCGUCAUUGGAUGUACUAUAACAGUAAAGAGUCAAUUGAAGUUGAAAGGAAGUGAAAAACUUUUAAUCUUUAAGAGAAUGAUGUUAAUAAAGAAAAUCAGUUAAUAAUUAAACCCCACAAAAGCUAAUAAAAAAUUAUAACAAUAAGGAAGGACCGACAUAGAGUCUAUUAAGAAGAAACCCCACAGAGGGCCAAAGCCUCUCCUUUUUAAUGUAAUCUUCAAUCGUUGUCUAAAUAAAUUUUAUUUGUGAUUAUGUCUUUUGGUUUAUAGGGACCACAAGCUUUUAAUGUCAAAUUAAUUAAGGACCUCUUUGUAAAUGUUCAUCCUCCCUAAAAAAUCGAAUCCACAGCUAAGCAAUUUGCAUUACAAAUAUAUACUGCUUGUAUAUAAUGAGGACUAAAACCCAAAAUUAUUAUGUACUAUUUUAUUUAUUUAUUUAUUUAUAUGGAUUGCAUUGGAUAUAUCCCCACAUCACCCAUCUGCCUUGUAGACCUUCCUUUUGACCUCUUUUGUUGUACUUCUUGUCGUUGGCCUUAUUCACAUUUAAUGCACAAAUUAUUAUUAUUAUAGUCAUAAUAAAAAUAGAGGGAGGAAAAGAAAUGUUAAUGAACAUUGUCAUCAGUGACCUAUCCCUCCUCAAUUAUGUUUUUUCAAAGAAAUAGACUUCUUUUUUGGCAUAACUCAAUUUUAAAAGUCACUUCAUGAAGUGUUGAUUGUCCAAACCAACUCUUCAUAGCCCUUCUCGUAUAUAAUAUAAUAUGGAGGAAAUUGACAUUGAAAAUGAGAAUUAAUCAAUCGGAUCAUGCUUUAAUAUCAACAUAAACGAAGAAUGUAUUGUCUAAGUUAUAAUUAAAAAAAAUACUGUUCUAACAUUUCGUGAGAAGAAAAUUUUUUGAAAUUAAUUCAAUGAAAUAUCUAGUUUAAAGAGUAAAAAUUAUUCGAGUCAUAUAAAAAGACAAUUGAUUACUUCAUUGACGUGAUGUGGAACUUUUCACAAUGCACUACUGGAAUAAGAACAGGAGAAAUGUACUAUAUGUGUGAAAAAUGUUCAAAAUUUUAAUUUAACUUCCAGAGUAUAUUUCCUCACUAAUUAGUGUCUAAAGCACAGUAGCUUCUUCUAUUUGUGUAAAAAUAUAUAAAUUUAAGAAGUGACAAAAAUUAGCUGAAAUUAAUAGACACAUCCUUGAAUUAUCUAAAAGGUUACAGCAUAUGUAUAAAAUUAAAAAAAAAAAAAGAGGGAAAAAGUUUAAAAUGUCAAAAUAAUUAAUGGAAUUAAAUAAAGAAAGAUAUCCUCUGCAAGGCGGCUAAAGCAUGGAAGUACAAAUAUUCUCUUUUGAAAUGGAACUUAGAAUUAAUCAAAUUUGUCAGAGAGAUCGAAUAAGUGGAUUUAUAUGAAGCACAAAUUAAAUACAAACGACAAUGCACCAUUCAUGCACUUCAACUUGGUUUAAAUAUUUUAAAUUAAUCAAUUAAAUCCUAUAGUUUUAUUUGAAACAUCUAGUACGGGGGUAAUAUUAUUAAGUUACAGCAAAGCAAAAUUGAGAAUUAAAACUUUGUCGAGCAAUAAAAAACAAAGGGAAUAAGCAUUGUACCCCAUAAAUAGUUGACUUGAUAAAUAAUGAUAGAAACAGCUCAUACAGUACUCUUCUCUAGAAAUUAUUAAGAGAUAAGCUCAGAUGGAAGAUUACAACUAUCUCCCUUGUGGGAUCCUUUUUUAUUUUUUAUUACAUACUUUGUUUAAUUAUGUAUUUCGUUCAUUAUUGUUUAUAACAAGAAUGGAGUAUAUUUUAAUUAAGUAAAAAGUAAAUGAAGAUAGCUUAAAAUAAUCUCGUGAAAAUAUUUUAAAUUAGGACAUGGCUAAGGUCAAGGAAAUUUCGUGUUAUUAUAACAUAAGACAAACUAUUAAAGAAAAAUAAACCUUAUUGUACUUAUCAUUAUAUAUAGUUCAUCUUGAUAUAUUUCAAUUUUUAUUUUGUUAUUUCAAAAGUCAAGAACGUGCUUAAAGUAAAAGAAGGAUUAAAGAAAGGUUGUGAAGUAUUAGACGUGUCUACACACGUAGCUUUCAUGGAAUAUCUAUCCAUUAAAUUAAUUAAUUGAUAUUAAAGAAAGAUGCUUAUAAUUAAGAAAUUAUUAAGGGAUGCUUUAUACUAAAGAAACCAAUUAUGGAUGCUACAAUUUUUUACUUGACAUAUCUCUAAGUCUUUUAUGUGUUGUCUCUUUGUCAAAGCUUAGCCCAUGUUAUAUUUAAAUGAAGUCUCGAGCCAGACGGCAAGUAAAAGACAGUUUUAAUAACCCCACAUGUUGAAUUUAAUUUAAUUUGCUAAAAGCGAGGGACAACAUAAUUUGUAAAAAAAAAAAAACUUAAAUAAUUGUUAGUAAUAUCAGUAGUUGUUUUUGUUAUAUAGUUUUGACCGAUUUUCACCUUAAAAACUUUUUGAGGUUGAAUUUGACAUGAAAUAUGAUAUUUGAAUAAUAAUUACUUACAUUUAUAUUGCGAUCGGGACGUAUUAUUGGUCAUACAAAUGACAAAGAAAUUAACGCAAGACGAUGCCUUAAAAAAGAGUUGUUUUGUCAUGAAAUACGUAUGAUUGGAAAUACACAAUUGUUUUGGUGAUGAAAAAGUCUCCUAAAAGUGGGGAGAGGGGAGUUGGGACGUGCGGUUUUAAGACUGUUGGUUGUGGCUUCCCCUAAAUAGAAAGAGCCACAUUUUGUAUUUGACCCUACUCGACCUAUCAACAUAUGAAAACGAAUGAAAAACUGGCCACAACUUAAAUAUUAUAAUUUUAAAAAUUACAAAGAUCUUUUUUCGUCUAAUUUAACAUUUUAAUUAAUUUAAUUUGGUGUAACGCAAAAAUAAGGAUCAUGUACGACUACCUUUUGGGGCUAUAUAAUUGCGUAAAAGAAAUUUCCAUUUACACACACAGUAUAUAUGCAUGAAAGUUGUUUAAAUGUCUGCGCCGACUAUAACUGUGGAGCUUUUCACGAAUGACUUUGCUAGAUGUAAUAAAGUCAAUAAAAACAAGAAGCCAUAAAUAAAAGAACACAAAGAUUCUACUGGAAAUUUGAAAGGUAAUAAAUUGUAUAAAUAAAUUCUAUUUUUAUGAGGACGUGUGCAUAUACAGCUGUUGGAAAGUAUUCCAUUGACCAGAAAUGGUAUCAAACAAUUAAUACUAACUUUGUCACCUUUUAUAUGAAAUUUUUAUUAGAAAAAAUAGUGUAUAAUAGCAAAUUAAUAAUCUAAAAUAAAUGGAGUAGGUAGAGUUGAUUUAAUUGUACUUCAUAGUAAAUGUUUGAUAGUGUAUAAUAGCAAACUAAUAAUCUAAAAUAAAUGGAGUAGGUAGAGUUGAUUUAAUUGUACUUCAUAGUAAAUGUUUGUGAAAAAUUGUCAAGCGCUUUUUUUUCAAAUAUCUUGCUCGCCACUCUUUUCCAAUUUAUCGCUCGCUUCCUCACUUUUUAUACAAAUAUAAGUGUACAAAAAUUAGUUCUAAUUGUAUAAAGCAGAGAAAAUUGUAUAAAUAAAUAUAUUUUCGUUCCCCUCUUUCAGAUCUCGCUCGCCACUCUCAAAUCUCGCCUGCCACCCUCGCCUUUCUCACUUAUACAAAUAGAAAUGCAAUGUAUAAAUUGCAUUUCUGUCUGUAUAAAGCGUGAGAAAAUUAUAUAUACACAUGUAAGUACAUAUAUUUUCGUCUUAUUCACUUAUAAUUAUAAAAUAAAAAUACUCCCCUGCUCAUUUUCUUUUGUCUUUCUCUCUUUCUCGUUUUAUACAAUUUUCAAAUUGUAUCUAAUUUCUCUCUUUCUCGUUUUAUACAAUUCGAUUCAAUUGUAUAUUCCUUGUUCAAGUCUCUUUUGUCUUUCUCUCUUUCUCAUUUUAUACAAAUUCAAAUUGUAUAUAAUCGUUCGAUACACUUAUAAUAAUACAAUUCGUUUUUAUUUAGUUUUCUGCCCAAGGUCUUUCUCUUUCUUAUUUUAUACACUUCGUUUUAUACAAUUUUCUUCAACUGUAUAUAUAUAACGAAUUAUACAGUUUCUAUGUUUGCUAUAGAGCACAAUUAUGCAAACUUUACUAUAGCAUACAAAUAUAAAUUUUUUAUUUGGUAUGUGUGAAAGUUGCCCUUUUUAUUAAUACUCACUUUGUCACCUUUUAUAUAUUUUUUUUUUGAAAGUUAAACAGUCUUGAUCGAAUAUUUAUAUAUUAAAUUUUUAAUAUUUUUGAACUAAAGUUUAUAUAUUUACAAAUUAUUUAAAAUCUAUUAUACAUUAUAAUAAUUAAUAAAUUAAAAUAUAUAAAAAGUUUAUAAUUAAAAAUACAAUUUAUAAUUUGAAAAGUGAUACAUAUAUUGAGACUGAGACGGAGGGAGUUGUAGUAUUAUGUGAAUUGAUAGACGGAAGAAGAGAAAGCAGCCACAUUUGGUGUAAAUUUAAAACAAGUCCCAUCAAGAAGUGGCCUAUUGAAUUAAAUGUAGGAUAAAGGGUUGUAGUUAUUAGUACAAGUAGUAGUAUCUUUGUGGUGCAGGGUGCUAUCAUAUUGGGUCACCACGUAUAUGCAACUUUGCAUGCUUUAACAUAUACAUAAGUAUUAAUUAAUAUUAUCUCCAAUCUCAUUCUCAACUAUCUCGUACAAAUUAUCUUCUCCAAAUUGAAUAUUUAAAGUUUAUAAGUUUUUAACAAUUUAAUACUAAUAAAUUCAUAUAAAAUUUUAAUUUUACAAUUAAAAAAAAAACAUUUUAUUGUUUCAAUUAACGCAACGCACUUUGUUAUAUAAGAAUUCGAUUAAUUUAGUUAAUAACCGACUUUAAUCCAAUUUACUGGGUUCAGUUAUUGGGGCCAGCCUAAUUAACACUGUAGUUUCAUCCUGUACAACUCAUUUCAUAGUUUGCCUUUUCUUUUAUAAGUUUCUUUUCCAAUAAUUUGUUCCUGUUCCUUAAUUAUAUGCAAUGAUAGAAAAGAAAUUUGUGAUUGCUUAAUGCAUUUUUUAUUUGAAAAACAUAUUAUAUUGAAAUAUUGAUCCAUUAUAUCUUCUUAAUCUAUUUUAUUCGAGCAUAGUUAUUAUUCCCUUUGUCUAACUACCCUAAUACUUUUAUAUAGUGUCUACACUAUAAGAUCAAAAGCAUGCUGUCUAAGGGAAAUAAAAAUCAAGGCUUUUUCUUAAUUACCCUUUUUCGGAAGCUCUCACCGCUUCAAUUUCUUGAUAAUUUAAAUUUUUAAUUUUAAAAUUAAAAAUGAAAGAUUCUAAUCAUCGAUACAAUUCUCAAAAUCGGAGAAUUUCUUUUUUGAGUAAAUUCUAAAGAAAAAUAAUGUGUAAUUCAACAGAGUUUUUCCGUACUCAAGUGUUGGGCAUUCUGAAAAUUCAGAGUUAGGACAGCUAUAUCAUUGUCAUUGUCGGCUAUAUUUAGAUGAAAAACACACCGUUUACUACUUUAAAUAAUUUUGAUUUAGUCACACAAAUGAUUAGAGGACAAAAUUACUUCUUUUUUUUCUUUAUAUUCUAACAAAUGGGAAAAAAAAUAAUCUUCGAAUAAACAAUAUUGAGAAGGAAAAAAAAUCACAAUCAAUCAUGGGAAAUUUUAUAGUAUUAUUUGUUUUCUUUAUCUCAUUUGAUUCUGUCUACAAAAAAAAAUAAAUUAAAAAUGAUAGGGGAGUUGGUGGAAUAAGAUGAUAGGGGAAGAUACCAUACAUGUUCCUAGAAAAAAUAAAUACUUAUAAACUAUUUGCAUAUUUUUAAAUUAUUCAUUAAACUAUAAUGACGUUAUGGAAAAAGAUUAUAAUCAGUUCACAAAAAUAAUUCACGGACCAAUACUGCAAAACAAAGAAAAUAGAAAAGACAAUUUCAUUAUUUGAAUUCCACCUGGCCAAUAUCCAUAUAAAAUUAUGUGAUAAGAGUUUAGGGAAUUUUAUAUUGUGUCAAUAAUGAAAGACAAGGGAAUGUAUGAUGACAGAAAGUUUUUUCUUACCAUUAAUUAAUUUAGUUUACCCUAAUUGCUAGCUUUUACUAAUCAUUGAGAUUUCUAGUCUGCAAACCCCUUUAAUCUUAUUCAAAUGUUCUAACCCUUUUUUAAUGCUUUGGAAUCUUUAAAAUUAAAUUAAUUCAAAAUCAAUACUUUUUCCGUCACAAAUUAUUAAUCAUAUUUUGAUAUACAUGUUUGCUAACAAAACAAUAAUUAAAAGAGAUUUUUGAUGAUUUUAUUCUAAUUUAUAUUUUAAGAUAUAUAAUCUAUUGAAAUGAUUAUUAUCUCUAAAAAUAAUUAUUAUUAAAAAUAUAUUUGAAUUCAUUAAGUUUUUCUUGAACUUUAAAAAUGGAAUAGUUUAUUUGAACCCACAAUAUCAAACUCAAUAAAUUUCUUAUCUUAAACAAGUUCAUUUAAAUUACAACUUGUCUCAAAUUUUAGUUGAAUUUCUACAAAUCUUUUCGAGUAAUAGUUAUUGCUAAAAUCAUAUUGUGGCCAUGAAAUAAAUAUCUGUCUUGGUGACCCACACAAGUGCUGUCAAACUCAUUAAUUUCUCAUAACCCUUUGAUAGGACAAAUGCAUGUCAGAAUAUUGGAGCUCCAUUUCCUAAUUUCAAAUGUAGCAUAGGUAAAAUGGGAUUUUAAAGGGAAUAAAAUAUACAAGGAAUAAGAAAAAAAACUCAUGCCAUUAAAUUUUAUAUCACAUACUUUCUUCUCAAUUUAUCUUAUAAAAAUCACAUCCUAAUGUUAAAAGAUUACAUAAUUAAAUUUUUUUAACCUAUAUUAAAGUACUAAUAAUAAUAUAUAGGUAUAUAGAUGUUUGCGAUUUGUUGAAUAUUAUUAUUUUUUAUCUGAGAAAUCUUUAUUUUUAUAAAUAAAAUAUCUAAUAAUCUAUUGUGCUUCAAUUUUUUAAUAUCAAUUUAAAUAGUAUCACAUAAUUUGAAACGAUGAGAGUAUUAUUGAACAAAUAAACCUCAAAAAUGGAAUCAUCUGCUGAAUACGACCUUCUUUAUAAGUCUCCUCCAACCUCCUAUCCAUUUCAUUUUCCACAGCUUCCACUCUCCUUCCUUACAUCUUUCUUUUUCUCUCUCUCUCUCUUUUCUUUGCAUCUUAGCAAGAGAAAAAUAAUAUAAUCAACAAGCUUCACUUAACAUAUUCAACUUUAAAAAAAUCACAAACUUUGCCCUUUUUGUUUUUUUUUUGGUUUUCCAGCAUUGCAAGUAUCACAUGGGGAGGCAUUCUUGUUGCUACAAACAGAAGUUAAGGAAAGGCCUUUGGUCUCCUGAAGAAGAUGAGAAACUUAUAAAGCAUAUUACUAAAUUUGGUCAUGGCUGUUGGAGCUCUGUCCCUAAACUAGCAGGUCCACUAUCACUACAACAAAUAAUAUUUCGCAAAAAUUGCAUGAUCAAAUUGAAAAAAAUAAUAUAUUUUAUAGUCGACAUUAACUUGCUUGAAUUGAGACAUAAUUGUUGUUAUUUUAAUUUUGUUUUUAUGAUUUUAUUUAUUUUCAAUGGUGACAGGUCUCCAGAGGUGUGGAAAAAGUUGUAGACUGAGGUGGAUUAACUACUUGAGGCCUGAUUUGAAAAGAGGAACAUUCUCACAGGAUGAAGAAAAUUUGAUCAUUGAACUUCAUGCAGUUCUUGGGAACAAGUAAUACAUUUAUCCAUCACCAAAACAGUAUAAUUUGAUUCAUUCCAUAAUGACAAUACUUAUUAAACUUUUUUUUGUGUGUGUACUUGUCAGGUGGUCGCAAAUUGCAGCUAGAUUACCUGGAAGAACAGAUAACGAGAUAAAGAAUCUGUGGAACUCUUCAAUUAAGAAAAAGCUUAGGCAAAGAGGAAUUGAUCCUAAUACACACAAGCCACUUUCCGAACUAGAGAACGAAGAGAAAGCGUCGGCAAACAGUAACACUAAGAACAAUGACAAAGUUUCAGAAAGUUCAAAUAAUGAAUUCAAUUUUGUUGAGAAUGGAUUUUCAACAGAAAAACCAAUUAAGCCGGCCGUAUCUUCAAUGAUAAAUACUUUGGAGCGUUAUCCACUUAUUCAUGAGCCAAAUAAUAUUGCCCCACCAACUCAUGAAUUUUUCACCACCAAUUGCAAGUCUCCUGAUUUGUCUAAUUAUCUCUCUUUUCACAAUUAUUCUCCCAACACGAAUAUUCUCUUCAAUACCAAAACCUCUUCUUCAUCUGCUGCUGACAAUAUUAUAUCUGAUCAUCAGUUCAAUUGUAGCACUUUGACAAAUGCUACUUUUUCUACUAUGUCGAAUUCGAUUCUCAGUACUACCAUAUCGCCGUUGGCGCGUAAUUUUAAUAUCAACAAGUUUCAGAAUUGGGAAGCGUGUACGAUCAGCAGCAAUGGCAGCAACAAUAGUAAUGGUACUAGUAACAGUAUCGAAUUACAAAGUAACUGUUCAUUCUUCGAUAACAAUGCUGCAGCCGCUUUCGCUUGGGGAUCAGCGGGCGCAACUGCAGCAGCAGACUGUACGGGAAAAUCGGAGAGGGAAGAAAUCAAAUGGUCUGAAUAUUUACAAACACCGUUUUCACUAGGUGUUAACAAUAACACAAUCGACACUCAUCAUCAACAUCAAAUUCCUUCGCAUCAUGAAUUGUACGACGGGGAAACAAAAUCAAAGACACAAUUUAUGACCCAAGGUUCAUGGCUUCAGAAUCAAACGCCGCAGACUUCUUCUCUACAGACUGCAGAAUUAUACAGUAACAACAAUUUCCAAAGGCUUCCAGCCGUUUACGGACAAUUUUCUUAGCCGAUUUUCAAUGGCUAAUUAUCUCACUUAUUAUGAUGGAUGGUGUUACUUAAUUUCCUACAGGUGUGUGCUAUAGAGUUUUCGUUUUAUUUUUCUUAAUCUGUAAAUAGGUCUUACACAUAUUUCCUUCCUUUGUCUAAAAAACACUUUGAUGAUAAAAAUAUUGGAUCAUCCUCCUUUUGUGGAUGGUAUAUGAUAGUAUAUGUACUUUUUCUUUUCUUUUGCUUUUGUGGUUUGUAGAUCUUUUUAUUUACAGGUUGUAAUUUUGGUUUGUUGAUUAAGCAUUCAAUCAAAAAGUUUUAUCACUUUUCUAGUUUUUACCGUUGUAGCCACUUAUGUAUUCCUAUUUAGAGCCUGUUUGGUUCAGCUUAAAAGCUGGUUUUUGAUUUAUUUAGCUGUUUGGCAAAGCUUAUUUUAAGCUAAAAAAAAUUUAUUUUAAGCCAAAAGUUAAAAGCUGGGGUAGGGGUGCUUUUUUUUUUAGCUUAUAAGCUGUUUUAAGUUGACCACAUUUUUAUCUUUUUGUGCUUACUAUUUUUGUACAAUCUCCAAAUUACUCAUAUAACCCUAACAUUUCUUUCUUCCAUUUUUUCCUUUUCACGUUUGACAUAACAACUUCAGCACUUUUAUCCAAACGCAUAACUGCUUAUUUUAAAAAUAAGUUUCAGCACUUUUAAAAGUAUUUUUUUAAAGCUAUUUUUAUUAAGCCCAUCAUCCAAACGGACCCCUAAACAAAAAAGAAUCCUUUGCAGAAAGCGACUAUCAGCUAAGAUAUAUAGCCUAAAUGGGUGUCUAUCCUUGUCUCCUACGGAUGGAGAUAGUUUUUACUUUUAACACUCUUCAAAGUCAAUUCCACACUCCUUAAUUAUUUUUUCGUCACUUAUUUUAAUCGAUCAAGGAUCGUGAUAGAGUUAUAAAUAUUCAUUUCUCUUUAAUUAGAUCUGUGGUGUUCAAAGCUCUCUGAGGUGAGGAAUAAUCUUUGUGAGAGAGUGUUUUAAUCCCAAUAUAGGUUAUUCCGGCACGAAUUUAAAUGUUGUCGGACCCCAAUGUGAGUACCGUAUACCGCGUGAAAAACUAAAAAAUCUCCUGUGAUUUUAGUACCAAUUACUUAAACUUUCUCUUUGUCAUUGAGGGUUCGAUUUCUCACUUUGUAAUCUCCUUCCAUGUUUUUUCCUUCCCCGGCCUACAUCUAUGUAACAAAAGAUAAAAAAGAAAAAGUAUCUUCACUCUUUUAUAUAUUUUAAAAGGAUGAACAUAUUUUUAUAUUCAGAUUUUUUUAAAUUUGAUUUUAUCCUAAUUAACUAACUGUUAAUAGCCAUAAAAAUGUCAUGGCAAAUUUUCUAAGAGUACAUUUAACAUGUAACAAAACUUGUAUAUUUUCUAAAUUCCAUGUCCAGACAUCCCAUUAUAAAAACAUAGUUGUACUUUCCCCCAAAAAAAAAAGGAAAGGAAAAAUGGUGAUAAAUUUCACGAGUUUAAACACUAUAGCUAUUUAGUCAAAUAAAAAGGAUUAAAGUAGUGUAAUGGAAAACAUAAUUUCAAUGUGUUAUAUAUGAUAUAAUACUUGAGGUUCAAGCACUAGUGAGAAUCACCAAGAGAAUCAACAAAAUUUCCAACUCAUAUCUUUGGGAGGUGAAAGAUAUCCAUCUAAUUGCUUAAUGACUUGGAAAGCCACAAAUAAAAUGCAAUUUGAAGAAUAUGGACACUAAUAAUACAUCCUCUAUGGUAACUUAACUUUAUCUAUUUUGGGAAUAGGAGAAAGAAAUCAGAGGGUCCCACACCUAUGAUAGAAUCAGAUAAAUCAAAGACUCAAAACUGAUAAAUAGAGUAAAAAAAAAAAAAAUCAUAUCUUUCUUACAACAUAAAAGAUAUGCUAGAGUAGAAAACAGUAUAAGAGAGGAAAAAACCUCCUUAUUAAGUGAAAUUUUCUAAAGAGACACCAUUUGCUUCUACUGAAAAAAGAUAGCUAUAUACCUUACUUCUAUCAAGUUAUUUUUUUCCCCAUUACAAGUCCCAAUUUUCACUUAUAGCAAAUGGGCCUAGUUUGCAUGUGAGCAAGCAAUAUCUAUCUUUCAUAUUCAACCUUCACUAUCACCAUAAAACUCCAUGAAUUAAAGUCUUCUCAUUACAUGUACUGAUCAACAAACGGUCCCUCCAUCAACUUUUUCAUAUCUCAUCCGUUCUAAUUUAAGUGUCUUAGUUUUACUGAAUAUUAAGAUUUAAAAAAAUAAAUAAAAAUUCUUAAACUUUGUGAUCAUCAAUUAAUGAUAUGUAUAACCAACCUUUAACUCACAUGAUUUUAAAUUUAAGACACUUAAAUUGAGACGAACAAAUUUAUCUUUAUUCUCAUAUUUUACAUAAUAAUAUUCAUGUACAAUCUAGUCAUCUAAUAUCUGUACGUAAGAAACUGACAAGUUAUCUUUACGUAUAGAAACAAAUACUCCAAUAAUUUGCUGAUGAAAAAAAUAAUUUUCAAUGAUGAAUAGCUUAAGGAUAUUAAAAGAAUCAAAAAGAGAGGCCCAUCCAGAUAUAUAUAUAUGAAUGAACCACAUGAACAUGUAUGGUAGGCCCUAUAACCAGAGUCUCCUUCCCACGUGCACCCAACGAAAAAUUAUACAUAAUCUUAAUAUUAAUUGAAUAUAUUUUUUCUUCUAGCUGGCCCUGGUUUAUUUUAUUUUUGUUAAAAUAAUUUAAUUACGUAGAAACUAGAAAGUAUUGUCUAUGAAGUAGUAUAUUAAUUGGGAGGUCACUUUGAAUGCAUGUGAACCUAAUUAUUGAGUUUUUUCUUGGACCUACAUUCUUUCUUCUACACAGAACAGAACAAAAAUAAAGGAAUUGACAUCUUAAAAUAAUUUAUCAGCAUUAAACAGGAUCGGUGAGAGACAGACGAAUUUAAGAUUUUAUUUAUUUUAUGAUAUUGAAUUUACAGUAUACCAAUAUGUAGGUUUAUUUAAUAAAGUCUCAAUACAUGUACAAAAUAUAAAUCAAAAUUAUUAAAUUUUACAGAAUUCGUAUUCUUCUGGUGUGAUUGCCCUAAGCAAUUAUUAAUGAUUUAUUUUUUUUCAAGAACUUAAAAGAAAAAAGUAAAAGAAGGGAGACAUAAAAAGAUAAAGGAAUAAGAACCAUAUGUUGACUAAUAAGAAGAAAAAUGGAAAACAAUGAUGAAGGUGAUAAUUGGGGACUGUGACAAAUGAUAAUAAAGGUGAUAAAAGAAUGUUCAAUGUAGUACUUUAGUACGUAAUAUUUUUUAGAUUAGAAUUUUAUUGGAAAGGAACAUACUAUAGCUAUAUAUUUUUUUUAAAAAAAUAAUAUGAUUUUAUAGUGUAUUAAAAAGAACCUUUAUUACUAAAGAAUUAACUUGUUGGGUGUUGAGGAGCAAUUGUUUUAGAAGUAAAAAAAGUUAACUCAAUCCACAAGAAAAACAGUUCUAUUUUAUUAGUAUAUGUUUGGUUAAGAGUAACAAAUUGUUGUACAACUAGAAAAGAUUGUUAUGAUCAAUGUCUUAAUGGAAAUAAUUAGAGGGACAAAGUGUGAAAAAGUAGAAGAGUAGAAAAUUGUUUCCACCAACUUUCACAACUGUCAUUCUCUUUUUUCUUUAUCAAAAUGUCCUAAGUUUUAACUUUUAAAAUAUAACUAUAUAAAAGAUCACUGCACAUAGUUAGUAGAAUGAGUGUCUUGAAAAUCUGUUUUAAUAGAUUAAUGAAUUACACUGAUAAUAUAAAUUAAAUACAUUUAUGUUAUAUGCAUUAAUAACAAUAAUAUUUCAGGUGUACUAUUAUCACAAAAAUAGAAAUAUUGUGUUUGAUAGAUUUUUAGUUUAACUAUGUAUCCUUAGAUAGGGUGACGCGCUGACGAUCAAUAAACUACGAAUGAAUCAUGUUCAUAGUUCAAAGAAUUCUUCGAUCUAUUUCUAAUUUUGUUUAUAUCGAUUCUAUAUAGUCAACCUCUAACACUUAUUCACUUAAAUAUAUAUAUAUUUUUUUUUUCUUUCACAGACGUUAAUCAUCUUAGUUUUGUUUUUCUCAACUCAUUCAUACGGAAGUUACUCUUUAUCUUGUCUUGAAUAACUUUGAUUUAUAUAAGUUAAAUCAGUCCUUUUCUCCAUUUAAUUACCAAACUGACUAUCACAAGUGCAGACAUUCCUCCCCAUUGACGUUGUACGUAAUUAAGUUAUUUAUUUUGAUUUUUAACCAAACUGAUUGUCACAAGUGCAUGCAGACAUGCUUUGCCCAUUCUUAAUUUCCAUUUGCAUCCGUCAAAAUAGAAGGAAAAAAAAAGAGAGCGGUGGGCAAAUAUUGCAGUACACUAAUAAUUAAUACAUAUAUUGGCUCUUCAUAGGUUGACUAGACAACAAAGGGAUCCACUUCUCUUUUUCCCUUUUGAAAAUAAUUUCGGUGAAAAAUUAAAUUUUUAUUGUUGAGAUAAAAAUUAAAAUCGUUGAUCAAUUUAUCUCAUAUGUCGGCAAUGAUUUGAUUUUUUUUCUCUGAUAUAUGAAAUCGACACUUUCUAGCUCUCUAAUUCAAUAAAGAUAAAGAAAUGUGAAACACAUAUUAGACCCCCUUAUUUUUCUCUUUUUUUAAAAAAUAAAAAUAAAUUGUAAUUAGGGAUAUCAAAGUGCACGAAUUGAAAUGAACUUGGACGAAUGAAUUCAAUAAGCUGAUUAAUAAAUAAAUGAGCAAAUAAUUGAUUUUGAAUUUUAUAAUAUGGGACAAAUAAUAAUCAAAUCGGAUUUAACAAGUCUCAUAGCAAAAGUAUACACGUGUAAUGUGUCGAGAGACUAUUACGGUAUUUUUAUCAACAUUAUUUUUUUUAGUAUAUUUCUUUGAAGAGUAUAUAUAUAUGCCAAGAAUCAUAUUGAGUUGUGUGAUCCUACUAGCUUUCAGUACAUUGACCCAAUGACACAUUGUUUGUCUUUUGUAUUGAUGAGCCUCGUAGCACUAACUUGGAUCCAGGCUAAGUUGUCGUAGGGACACAACAGGACCCUCUCAAGCUAUCUAAUAAGAUUCAUUAACAGAUACUCGACCUAAAACAAAACACAGUUUGCUCGUCUUAGAUUUAAAUUUAUUCAUUUCUAAAAAAAUAUUAUCAAGAUAUAAGAUUUGCUUAUUUAUAUAUAUAAUAUUUUUAUUAAAUUUUUGUAUAAAUAAGCAGGUUUACAUUCUAGCGAUAUGUUAAAUCGUACCAAUAUAAGGGAUUGAAAUAUCUCUUUUAUUUCGGGAAUCCAACUCAUAUAUUUUGAAUUCUCUAAUUUCAAAACAAAAUAAAAAUAAAAAGUAUCACGCCCCCACCUAAAGUACUUUCUUUACAUAUGAAAAACAAAAUAUAUUUUUCCUUCCGCAACUCAUAAAUUGAAUGGGACUCAGGGACGAGUGGAUGGUAAAGAGAGUGACAAUCAACGUCAAAAAUUAUUUAUGAAAUUACAAUUUUAUAAAAAAUAAAAAAUUGACCCAUCAAACGUGUAAAAAAUUUAUUAAAACUAUGUUUCUAUAUUAAAGUAAAAACAAAAAUCAAACGAUACCUUUGGCUUGAAAGAGACAAAUAUACGUUGGUGAAAAAUAAAAAUUACAACUUUUGUCGGUUGAGGAAAUAAAAUAAACAGACAGCUGGAUAAUAUCUUGGCUUUGGAAGUUACACGUCAAUAAUGGGAUUCAAAGUAAAAAUGAUCAGUCAACUAGAUUGGUACCAUACAAAUGUUUAUAUACUUUCUUGCUUCACUUAAAAAGAUACAUAUUAUUCUUUAAAGCAAAUAACUUUUCUUGUUUGAAUCUAAAAAUAUAAAUAAAAAAUACAAGUAUUUUCAAGAUAUAUUUUCUUUUUUUACGUUUAGAGAACAUCUUGAUUUAGUAGUCAUCUCAUAAAAUAUGUUAUACUCUUGGUUCACUUUCAAUUGUAAUAUUAUAUUUAUUAAAAAUUAAUUUGAUUCAUUUCUAAAAUUAAAUUAUAUUAUAUAAAUUUAAUAUCUUAAAUAAAAAUAUAUAUUUAAAAAUUACAUAAAAAUAUUAUAAAUUUUAAUUUUUAAUAUAUUAAUAUGAUAAAAAAUAUACAGCGUUAAUAUUACACAAAAAAAAUUGUUGUCAUUUGACUUGAGAGAAGGAAAUUGUGACACGAAGAUGAUAGUAAUGAUUAGGAAGGAAUUAAAUAGACAUCCAAAACACAACAUUUGCUGCUUUUAAUAAGUACUAAUCAAUGAUGAUAAAAAAAAAGAGUUCUCAAUGAAAACGUGUAGCCCCUCAAUCUCCAAAUGAAACUGGAAGUUUCUCCCUUAAAUAUUUUCAUAAUAUUUAUAUUAAUUAAUGUUAAAAGUUUUAAAUUUUAAAAAAUAAUUUGAAGAAAAAAUAAAAACAACAUUUUGUUGAUACGUUAAAAAUUACAAAUAUAAUAAGAAAUUAUUUUUAAAAUAUUGAAUAAGAAAGGAUUAACUAAGGGAGUAAGUACUUAAUGAUUCUAGAGGGAUAAAAGUUAUAAUUGUGUCGAGAAAAGGAAAAGAAAUAGUACUACUAUUGAGUAUUCACCAUGUGCGAAAUAAUGAAAUUAUCAGUGUGAUUUAAAAGUUAUGAUGGAUCAUAGCAACAAGUUACUUUGUCAUUUAUUUUAGAUUGUCACUUCAUACAAUACCACUUAAAUUGAUUUACUCUCAAUUUAAGUGACUUGAUUGUAAAAAUUUACUUAAGGUAUGUAUCAUUCGAUUAAUUUCGUAUAAAACUUAAAUUUUAUAUCAAAUUAACUGUAUAAUAAUCUAAACAAUAAUUUGAACCUCUAUUUUAGGUAGGGACCUCAGCAGAAAAUUAGGCUGUGGUUGAAAGUUGAAAGUAUUAUUUGCCAAAAAGUACUAGUGCAAUAGUACUUCAAUUAUGAAGGAUUCUGUAAAGAUGUUAGUACAAUAUUUUGUUGUUUAUUUACAGAGAAAAACGUACAUGUCCCCUAUUUACUUCUUCAUACUGUAUGUUUUUUAUUCUGUUUUAUCUACCCUCAAACAACUAGUGCCGACUCAGUCAAUAAUGGAUCAUUGGUUCGUGCAUAAUCAAAGCUAGCGUUUGAUCAUAAUUAUUCUAGAUUGAAUAAUAUUUAUUGUCAUUAUUAUUACAAAUCGUAAUAUUAUAAAUAGGUAAAUUUGACACAACAUUAUAAUGUUUAUAAUGAAUUAUUAUGUAUUUAUACUGAUUAACUACAUCAUACAUUAUCAAAUAAUUAUAAUCAUGAUAUUUUUAAAGAAACUGCUUAUAAUCAAUUAAUGUCUAUUAUAAUUCGUUAAAUUAAAAUUAGUUAAAGAAGAUUUAUUAGUGUGAAAAAAGAAUAAUAACAACAAAGGGAGAUGAUAAAUCUCAUAAAUUAGCAAGGGUUUACGAGCCUAAAAAGAGUUAUGCAUUACAAACCAAUUUUAUUUAAUGUAGGAGAUGAAAAACCUCAUAUAUUGGCAAGGAUUUACAAAUUUAAAGAAAAAUUUAUAUAAAUCAAGCAAAACAAAUUUAAAGUAAUAGCUAAUCUUUUUUUUUUUCUAGAAUAUGUAAGUUUGGUGCAAGUUUGAAAAUUUUAAAAGAAAACAAUGGUUAUAACUUGGUCAAAAAAAUAGGUUUGAAGUAGAUCAUGGGAUUUGGAAACUAGUCUCUGGAAAAUUACAUAAUUUGAUAGCCAAAUAUAUAUUUGACGAAAAAAAAUAUUAUUUUUAAAGUUCUUUCAAAUUUAUGGCCAAACAAGUCAUAAUGUAAUGAGAAUGAAUCCUAUAUAUGUGUUUAAAACUUAAACAUAAGAUUGGAACAUGCUUAAAAUCUUCUUUUUUGAGGCGAGAGUAUCUAAACUAGUUUUUUUAACCUCAUAAAAAAUAGAGAUAAGGUUAACGUAUAUAUUGUCAUCUUCAGCUAUUCUUAUUAGAUGAUCACAUUAGAUAUGUUAUCGUUGUGUAUAAAUAUACUUUGGAACUCAUCCUCUCACAUAAACAAGAACCUAUAAUAUCUCUUAUUUAUCACUAAAAAUAAAUGAUAAUUUUACUCGUAAAUACGUACGCUUGGUGAAUGUGAAAAUACAAAAACUAACGCCAAUAGUGAUGCAGAAUUAGCCAUCUAACUGUAUUUUUUUAAAAAUACUUUUGCUUAAUUGAAUUUGGCUUGUUAUGUUCAGAAGUACUGUUAAUUUGUCCUUUGAUUGAUGUGAGAAACUUUUAUUUUGGGUUCUACUUGAUUAAGAAAUGUGAAAUAGAGGUUCUAAAAAGUUAUUAAUUGUAUUUUGUGUACAAAGUAAUCAACUUAAAUUUAAGCUUAAGCUAGUACAUAUUAUUUCAUUUUAAAUCAAAUCAUUUCAAACUCAAGCUUUUCCAAAUCAAUAUGUCACACGCUAAUUAAUUCCUACACGGACCGUUUAACUUUAGCUAAACGUGAUUUAUUUUAAAAUCUUGUUAAGAAUACAAUUUCAGACUGCUUAAUUUGUCGUCAUAUUAAGCUUAUUAUGACAAUAAUAAUAAAUAAUUCCAUCAUCAAGAAUAUUAAUUAAUAUGACGAUUAUGAUUUAGACUUUUGCAUCUGUCGCCUAGACAAAGCACAAACCCUUAAUUUUUAUUUAUUUUUUAAUUAAUAAACGGUAAAUUUUUUUUAUCAAAGAUUAUUAAACCUCUCAAACCCCUAAUUAGUUUUAAUGAAUAAAUUAAUAGAGAAAUUUCAUAAUUGAAGUGUGGGGAGAGACUAUCAAGCAAACCAGUCUACUAGUAAUUAUUUAUUAAUUAUGAAGAAACUGAAAACAAUAUUUUUUUUUUCUAAAUGUUUUUUUUCUUUUAAAUGUUAUAGUAAUGUUAUAGAGAUUUUAAUGCAAGUCUUCUUCUGUGUAAGAGAAGACUUUGAUAAAAAGAGAUUCGAUUUCAGUAGGGACCACAAAUAUUUUAUUUUUUAAAAAAUAGUUAAUUAAGGUGCAUGAUUAAGUAGUGAAUUGAUAAUAAUGAACAACUAGCAUUAUUAGCAAACAAGUUUAAGAAAAAACAAUUUAGUUUAAUUGAAAUUUGUUUGUCAGCGAUCAAUUACAACAUUUCAUAAGGGAAUCGCAGUUUCCAGCAAAAAAAGCAUAUUAUUUCCAAAAUUUCCGUCAUAUCAUGAGGCACAGCCGCCUGAUUAUUUUUUUUAAUUAUUAUACAUAGAAAUUAUAAAAACUAAUCUUAGAAUUUUAUUUUAGUGGAUUUGUUUGUUUUUUUUAAUAAAAAACACUUCUACUCCUUUAAUCAUCCAUUAUUAUAAAAGCAUUUCUUUAGAGAUUUUUUUUCUUGUUUAUUUUUAAAGCUUGAAAUUGAGAUCAAUCAUUUAAGAGAUAUUAUCACUCUCACAUCUAUUGAUUAUUCGAAGGCUUUCUUCCAAACUUGGUUCUGCUCGUUUGUCUGUAUUCGGGUACAAUAAUACGUUAAUUUUGAAAUGAGGGUUCCUUACUUAUAUUAAAAUUUUAAAAUUAAAUUCGCAAAUUAGUUAUUUAUCAUAAAUUUUUGUGUAAAUAUAAGAUAUUAUAUAAAUUUAAGUGUCUUGUAAGGUCAAAGUAUAGGGAUUAAGAAAAAAAUUAAAAUAAAAUAAUUUCUCUCUUUUAAAUACGAUAAAAAUGAGAGUGUAUACACAUUGUCCUCUAGUUCACUCAUAAAAUAAAAAAUUAUUAAUUAUGUUCCUUUUCUUUGGUGUCCAGCCCAUUUACGUUUGGCCCAAGUUUCUUCCAUUCAAGUGUCCAAAGUUCGUGAUUUUGUAAAAUAUAUGUAAUCAAAUGAAUCUAUGCAUAUAGUUUUAUACAAACAAAUAUGACAUGGUAAAACAAACGAAAAUGUCCAUUGAUUUUACAUGUUGAAACCGUCUAACUCAACUAUAUUAAUUUCAAUGUCAUACUCUUAAGCUAAGUGUACUAAAGUUUCUUUAGAAAGUUAUCUCAUUAUACAUGUUCUAUAAAAAAAAUUGUUUAUUUUUUUAACUCACGACUUGAUUCUUCGGUUACAGAUGAAGUUUAAUUAAAUUUUACAAUAAAUAUAAAAGAAAAGAAAAAUGUUAACUUGACAAAAUAAAUAAAAUUUCAAAAGAAACCGGAAAAAGUGUACAUGAAUAUGAUGAAUACGAUAAAAAUGAGUAAGUGUACAUUAUUUGAUAGAAAUGACCCAUGACUUUAUUCUAAAAAUGUCUACCUAUUUAUAUUUAUAUUCUAUUAAAAAUACAAAAAAAACUCAAAAAAAUAUUUAUACAGGCUAUUCGGCUCAUUCUAUAAUUAGUCUAUACAAAAGCUAAUAAACCAAUUUACAAGUUCUUCUAUACAAAAAUAUAAAAUAGGUUCAAUUUUUCUCGAUUUGCUAUUAAUAUUGAAUCGUUUUAACUAAAAGAAAACAUAAGGAAUAUGUUAGACUCAUAUAAACUCUAAAUAAGAGGGAUGCACUAACUUGUUAUCCUAUAUAAAUUCCAAAUAAAAGAGAUAUUUAUUAUUUAUAAGUUCUAAUUUUAGAAUUUUAUAACAUUGUUAGUUUUUAACGUUGUAAUUCAUUUUUAUAUGUAUAAGUGGUGUUCGAAAUUUUGAAUGUAUCUUUAAUUUGAACAUGAUAACUUUGUUCCAUCUCAAUUCUUAACCAAAACUAAUUUGAAAAUUAACUACACUAACCUCUAUAGCAAUGUGUACAUAUAUAAAGUUUAGCCGAUUCAAGGUUUACGUCAAAUCACGGAGGAAAUCCUUUAACAUUUAGUAUACAUUUGUCACCAAAUUAUGACUAUUUAUAUGUAAAAUUUUACUAUUUUAAUAUUUACAGAAGGUUAUAAGAACUUAAGUUGGAUUCUAAAUUUCUAAUUGUAAACUAAAUUUUGAAUUCAUGUAAAUACAACAAACUUACUAAAGAAAGUAUAAUUGUUAUUAGAGUUAAUAUCCUCCAAUGGUAACUCAACUAUGAGGUUUUAUCACAUAAAGUCACUAAACUUUUAUUUUCACUCUAAAAAUCACUCGCUUUUUAUUUUUAAAAAAUCGUUCAACUAUAAAUGUUUUACUUACGAAACUUUGAUUUUUACUUCAAAAGUCACUCAACUAUAAAUGUUUUACUUACAAGAAUUAAUCAAUCUAUUUAAUUAUGUUUCCACCUAAAUUUGUUCAUAUGAAAUUUUUACAUAAAAUCAAAUUUUAAAAAAUAAAAUAAUAUACAUUUAAACGAUUUAAAGUCAUCGAUUGAUUUUAAUAUUUAUUUGAUGAAAAACACUACUAAAUAGCGUAUUUUGAUUAUUAAGUAAUUUUAUUUAAAUGAAACGCAAUAUUUUCUGGUAAUCAAUUUUUUAAAUAGGAAACAACUGCAAACAUACGGUAAAAAAUUUAAAAGAGGCUUAAAUGAAUUAUUUUUUAAAUUGUAAACAUUUUAAAGAGGUUUGGUAUUUUAUUUUAUAUUUAAGAAUUUGAUUUUAAAUAAAAACUUCAUACAAAUAAAUUUCAAUGAGAAAAAUAAUCGAAUAGGGUUGACUUAAUUUGUGACUAAAACAUUUAAAAUUAACUAAUUAAGUAACUUUUGAAAUAAAAAUAAAAGUUGAGUUAAUUUUCGAGUUUUUGGAAUAAAAAAUAAAGUCAAGUGACUUAUGAAUUGUCGGUAUACCAGAUAUAAACUACCAAUGUCUUCUACAUCAUAAAUAAUUUUCCUAAAUGUUUUCUUGGCAUUAUAACUUGUAAGGUAUUGUUACAAUAGUUACGUAGUGUUUAUAUUUAUAUAAUAUUUUUAAGUCAUAAAGUGCGUGUGAUACACUCCAGAUGACAUGACAAAAUAUUUAAUGAAAAAUAACACGUGAUAAGUGGACCCCAAAAAAUUAUAAAAAAUAAUUUUUAAACUUUAAAAAAUAAAAUUUAUUUCAAAUACAUUUCAAUCUUUUUUCCUUAUAUAUAAAAAUAUUUAAAAUAAUAAUCCAUGCUACCCACCCCACCGCAUGCUACCCCAUCCCCAUUUCUUCUUCAUCUUCUUCCCAAAUCCCUGCAACAUUUCCUUUUUAAAUCAUAAUAAAAUUUAAUAUCUGAUCAAAUAUUUACCGAUUUAGUAAAAUCAUAGUCCAUGUCCACAUUUCAAAAUUCAAAUAUGCAAAGGCAUUCAAAGAUCUACUUAUAUCUGAAUUUGAAUUUUAUUGCAACAGAAAAUUUUCAUAAAUAGAUAUUAUACUAAAUCCUAGCUUAGCAAUAAUACAAAAGUGUUGGUCAAUAUUUAUAGCUAAAGCAAUUAUAUUGGAAUAGAUUUACUCAAAGUAGACUCUUUUUGGGGAACAUCUAACCAAAGAAGGCAAAUGAAAUAAUUGGACAAACCCACCUUAUGAUACACUUUACAGAGUAUUUAACGAUGUGAAAAGAUUGACAAAAUAAAUAUCAUUGAGAAGAUUAAACUAUGUACAACCAAUAAUAACAAAGAAAUUUUAUAUAUUAAAAUAUGAAUGAAGAAUGUAAAAAUAAGUUAUUAUUGGAAGAUGAAAGAUACAUGAAUCUACUUUAAUUUCUUGUCUUUAAGGAAUAAUUACUCAUUUGUAUUUUUUUAAAAUUUGCGUGAGAAAUUUGAAAUGUCAAGAUUUUCGGAACGUGCUUUGCACGUAUGUUCCAUACAAUUACUAUAAAGUUGAAUUAUUAGAUAGAAAAUGUUAAAUUUAAAAAUAUUAAUUUUACUAAUUUAUAUUUUACGUUAAAUAAAAUUCAUAAUAAUUGAAUUAUACAUUGACCAUCAAGCAAGAAUAUGGAAACAUAAUAAUAUUAAUAUAUAUAGCAUCUAAUAAUAUGAAUAUAUCUAUAUGGUUUAUCCUUAAUAAUCUCUGAUUAUGCUCCAUAUAGUAAGUCUACAAGUAAGUAUCUACUUAAAAGAAACUACAUCAGUAAGGAAAGGAUAAAAAAAAAAAAAAUUAUACAAGUAUAUUUAAAAACCAAUAUAAAAGUCAUAAAUUUGUAAUUUCAGCACUAAUGAAAAUAUACUUAUAACAUGCAUAAUUUAAUAGAGAUUAAAUUAAAGAAGUAUAAAUCGAUAAAGAAUACAAAAAAAUUAAACAGAAAGGAACAAAUACAACAUUCAUAUCCUUCUUAAGACUUUAAUUAUAACAAUAUAUAGUAAAAAGAAAUACAUUAGGAGUAGAGUUCUUGAUGAUACCUUCUCCGGUAACCGAAAAAAACAAUCCAAAAUGGUAAAGAUAAAAUUAUGAUACAAAAUAUCAUUCUAAUUAGAAUCAAACAAAUAUUAAUAUUUAUAACAAAAGUACAUGAAAAUUGCCUAAUGAUUUACAUCAACAAGAGGCAAGUGGUAAAAAAAAAAAAAUUCAUGAUACACAUAUAUAGCUAAAAAUUUAUUGGAUAAGAUGAAAGCGUAGUUUAAGUUAAUUUUUAGAAGUUAGAGAUCUUAAACAUGAGGGAGAGGAAAGGUUAGUUGUUUUCACUAAUAAUUCAAGACAUGUAAUUAUACUAAUUAUAAUGAAAGGAUAACAAAUUUAAUCUAUUUAACCACACUAAUUAUAGAGAAUGAAUAGAGAAAUUUUUGUCAAAAAAAAAAAGUAAUUCCUAACAAUUUUCUAUGAAAUAUUUUUGUCUUUCAAAGUUUGAGUUUACAACUUCUUAUUUUUAGUAUUUAGUAUAAUAUCAUAUAAUUAUCCCUUAUAUUAGUAUCUAAAUAAUUAGAAUUUGAACCACUGUGUCUAGAUCCAUGUAUUUAAAUAUGAUUAUUUAAUAUUAAAUUAAUUAUAUAUUAAUAUUUAAUUUAGUUUAAGAAUAAAAUAAGAAUAACUUUUAAAAUUAGAUGCUUCCCACAUGUAAUAAUAUAUGAUAUGAUGAUUAAUAAUGUUUUAGGCGUGAUAGAAGGCAUACACGAGAAUUUUAUGGGGCUUGCGACUUUCAAUUGCAUUUGAUUCCUUUAUAGUUAGAAGCACUCAACAAGAGCUUUUAUUCAUUUUGUUGGCACAAACGUCCAACUUGAAAGAUUGCAACUUGGAGAAGCAAGUAACCUUAUAUAUACGUUCAUCUGCUUGAACGAAUGGAUCAAUGUCGAACAAAAGAAUGAAAUGAAUUGAUAACUAGAAAUUAGCUUCAAGCCACACAAUGGCUGCAACUUAGCAUGAACUAUUAACUACAACAGUUAAAAGUAGCUGAAAGUGAAACAAACCACAUUGUUGGGCUUCAUUGAGUUGAUUUGUUUUACAAUAAUCCAAUAAAUUUGGGAUACAUACAUAAUAUGGUAAAUGAAAAGCUCUUACACUAUUAAGGGACACAUAUGGAUUUUUACUGAACUAAACUUAGUAGGAGAUAAAUCACUUUACUUUAUUGUCUACAGUGAACUUUGUUACACUGCAAAACAUCUUAAGCUACUUGGGAAGGGUAUAUGACUAUCAAGAUGAUAACAUAUUUCUGCUAAGUUUGAAGCAGGAAAAGAAUUUGAUUAUAUGGCUCACUUAAAGACCAGGUUGUGACAUGUUCUGUCACAUGGAUAUGCACAGUCAAUCGCCUUCACACCACUACGAUCAAAGUACCAAUCUCCAACUGCAAGUGCAAUCGGCUGCAUAUUGAUGGUUCCAAGUUCAAGUUACAAUGAUAUGCUUAUACAGAUGUGUAUAUAUAAAUCUUUAACAUAACGAGAAGAACAGAAAAUAAAGAGAGAAAGGAAGCACCUUGUUAUUAAUAGUUGGGGAAUUAUCCGAGAACCAUGUAUCUUGCCUCUCAGAUUGGCAGUGGGCAAAGCAUGAGUUUAUAAACAAACCAUUUUGUCUUGAAGCAGCAAAUCUUUUAACCGUAUUAAGCAUAUGAAUCCUAAAACCUGUUCAAUGUGUAGUUGUUAGCAACAGUGAGUUCCUGAUCUCCAAAUAUUUGAAAAAUGGUUAACACAUUGAGUAAGGCAUACCUUGCAAAAAUUGAAUUUGAGAAGGAGAACAUCUUUCAUUGUUGAGUGUACAGUCAUGCCAUAAGCCGUGAGGAUCAGCUGUAUGAGGAGCUAAGCUUUCCUGAAGCUGUAUAAGUGAAAAAGAAAGAAUUUCCAUCACUAUAAGGACAGUCCGAGAACAACUGCAGUGUAUCAAACAGGAACUAAAAACCCUCGAAAAUCGUUUUCAUAUAGAAGAGCAGCGAAAAUAGAUAGAGUUAAUAACUUACUUGCCAGGAAUCAUAGGCAGCAUUCAGUAGAAAAAGAGGAGUCCUGAUGUUGUUGAUCAAAUUCUGAGGAAAGAAACACUGGAAAGGAAAAAAAGACGCAACUUUUAUUCAGUAAAAAAGGAAGAAGCUUUCCAGAUGUUAAGAGAAAAUUACUAAUGAGGGACUUACCGAGGUUGCAUCAAGGUGGUUGGUGCAAGUUCUUGGUAGCGUAUUCUGAAGACCCUGUUCCAAAAAAUGCAUAUGUCAGCUGCACAUAAGAGUUCUCUUCUAACAGAUAGAUAUCUUUCAUUUAAUGAUCCAUUUAGGUAUAAAAGAUACAUUAUUGUCGUGGAACAAAUAAAAUUCCUGUUCAGGAAUGACAUUUGACUACAUUGUAUCCAUCUUCUCUAACAAACAAAUGCUUCAGAUGUUUACAGCAUUCCAUAAUUGAAACCAGCCAAGUUGACGUGCUGAAAUUGACAAAUAACGAACAUGAUGUUGGCUCAUUACCUGUGUCUUAACCACACCCCCAAAGAAAUCUCUGAUGGCAUGUCCUCCAGAUACAUCAUUUCUGUAAGAAAAGGUCAUUAUAUCAAUUCACUAAUCACUAAUUAGCAAAAGAGUCAAAGUGCAGGCAGGAUUUUUAGUUCAAAAAGUACUUGAAGGAUUUAUAGAAUAGGAAAUUACGCGUCCAUAAAUAAUCCAGCAUCACUCAGGCACUUCACUUUAGUAUGUGGGAGCGAAUUGCUGAAAUCAUCACAAUGCAUUAUUGAAGCUAGACCACCAGCAGAACAUCCAGAGAGAAGAGCCUAAAAAAAGCAGAAUCUGAGAUCACAACACGAACGACAAAAGCAAAUGAGAUGAGAAGUGUGAAUUGUGAUUCCUUCUACCUGCUUGGCGUAUCGCAUUCCUUUUGACCUUAACUCCUCCAUUGCAGCUUGAUAUAUGCGCUUGCCUCUAUAUUGCAACCCUGCAGCCUGGGGAGAAAUGCAUCGAGUCAAACACAACUAUUGCAGACAAACAGAUAGCCAACAAUCUCUUCCUUGAAACCAUGUAAUGCAUUACAUGCAGUCAAAUCUCCUAAUAACUCCACAUGAAAAUCCUCUCAUUCUUUCUCAGUUUUAAAUUUGUAAUUACUACACAAAAAAUGAUUUUUAGCAGCAAUGAAUUAACGAAAAUAGCUUAAUUGUAGCUAAAUAUGUUCUUUUAGUGGCAAUUAGCACUACUUAUAAAUGUCCCUGAAGCCUAUAAUGUCAAUUAACUAAUGCUGGUAAAGACUUUAGCACUCUUUGUUAAUGUGCAUAUUUAUUACCGCUAAAAGCUAUUUUGUUGUAGUGAAUGUAUGGGGGCAACAACUUCUGGUGAUUAGCCUACUUAGAUGAACUUGUUGAAAUCAUCAUGUUAUAAAGUAAAACAAAAAUAAGGAAAUUGUGAGAUGUCAUCAUCAAGCAGACGUAUAUUUCUUUAGUCUCUUAAAUUUUUAUAAGCAUAAGAUUAGUCAGAUGAUAUAGCAGGAGAUACAACAAGGAUGUUAUCACCAUUGCACAGAAUCUCUAGUUUAAGAUUAUUUUCAUACUUCAACCAGGAUUUGUAAAUGGUCCAGAAAGUUUAACAUUGUAAUCUGAAGCAUCAAAAUGGGAAGGUCUAAAGUAGAAACAUGUACACCACCUUGACAAAAGGCUUCUACUCUUUCACUUUCACAGAGGAACCAUGUAGUACGGGAAAAGUUAAGUAGGAAUAUAAAAAAGUUCACGGACAUUCAUUUCAUUUCCGGUUAAAAAGAUAAAAGGGAGCCAGCCAAAAGACAACUAUCUCUUUUCCUAACCUCAGGGAAAAAGAAGAGUAUUACUUUUAUGUCAUUUUCCUCCACUAACUCUCCAAAUCAAAAAGGGAAGGAAUAAAAUUGCAAGAACAUGAAGAAUGUGAAGAUGCAAAAAGAUAAAGUAAGCCUAUAUCAAGAAGUGCGCAAGCACAACAGUGCGGAGCCAUCAUGAUGGUUGCAAAUUGAGAAAGCAACAUAUUACAGCUUUUAUUAAACUGUCCACUCACUUACUUUUUCGGACCAAUAGCACAUUUGCAUGAUAAGUGAAAUCUAAAAGGAGAAAUGGGCAAAUGAUCUGACAAACCUUAUCUUCACUAUCCCCGGUAAAUGAGGCACCAUCACAGUAGCGAACUUUUACUCUAUUCCAGUUAUAAAAAUCUGCAAACAGAAAAAUGUAAGGAAAUCUCCGCAAUAUGCUUAAACUCGUAGAAGAAAUGGUGUCAUAUCAUCAACUAAACGGACCUGGAUUUUCUUCAGCCCUGUUACUCAAAAUCCCAACAAAAGGAAUCUGUUUUUCCAUGUAAUUUGAUGAUCCUCGUCUUGUUUUUUUGCGAUAAACACAGCUUCUAACACUGUUGCACCAUCCUCCACCCUGCCACAAGAAGACACUGAGUUUAUAAUCUGAAGCAAUUAGAACAAUAGCAAGCUGCAAACUUUUCUUCAAAAGCUUCACGCCACAAUUCCGUUCCCAACACAUUUGAAAAGCAUGCAUACCAGAGAGGGAAAAAAAAAGUCAAAUUCCACAAUCAUGUUAAAAAGCAGGCCAUAAGUACCUAACAUAAUCAUCAAAUACAACUUGUCUCCAAUAUCUAUUUAAACAACAGAACAGAACCACUCUGCUACGGACAAGAACAAGUAAACAUAAAAAAUUAGGAAAAGGAAAAGAAAAUAACGAACAUCACAAAAAAGCAGAAACUCAACAAGUAAAAAUAUUUACUAAAUAUAUACAAACAAUUCAAAAAGUUGACUACUGAGACAAUUAAAAUUGGCAACAUUAAAAUAUUAGUCCUAAAAAUGUUUUAAGUUAAUUAAGAAAAGUUAAUUGGCAUACCUCCAAUUGAAUAAGCCAACUGUUUGCCCCAGACCCAUAACCUCUAUGGAUAUGGUAACCUGGUAGUGUUCCAUCCAGACACACUGUAGAAAAAAGUUUAAACAAAAAAGUCAAAAACAACUUAAUCACUUUUUCAGAAAUAAUUUUUAAAAUUGCAAAACCUUAUUAAGCUAAUUAGCCAGAGCGAGAGAAUUAAGCAAAUCUCUUCAUCAACCACUUGGCCUUAUCAUUCUCACACAGAUCACAAAUAAAACACAUUACAAGUUGUUGUCAAAUUUGGCUAAUUCUGUAAGCAACUUGUUAAAAUUUGUUGACAAGAGUCAAUUAUGAGUGGACUAGAUUAAUUAGUUUUUUUUAAUAUAGAAGUUCAAUAACAACACUAAAAAUAACUCUCCUAGAAGUUCACAUUUUGUGACAUAAUAAGUAAAAACAAAGUUCACACUAGUAACAAAACCAAAAUAAUGAAGGACAAAAAUUAAAUAACAGGUCACAAAAAUAUCAAAUCGCCCCUAAUAGAAAAUUGUAGAUGCUUAAUACUACCAAUAUAUAAUACAAAUUGACAAAAGGGGUAAGUCAGAUGCUAUAAACACUCUCCACUUCCAAACUCAAGAAAUUUAAGAUUGUGAAUAAAAAAAUAAUAUAUAAAUUAGAAGCAAGAAAAUCUAAUGCAAGAUCUCUAACUGGGUUGUUGCAAAAUCAUCAAAAUACAAGAAACUAAAAUAGAAAAACAAUUAAAAGAUAUCCAAAUCAAAUACAAAAAUAACUUUUCAUGAAUUUUUUUUUAAAAAAAAAUGAACAAUGUAGCUAACCAGCUCCUCUAGCAGCAGCACCAUGGAUGAUUGUAAGACCAAUCAUAAGUGGAGGAGGAGCAGCAGCAGAAGCUCCAUACACACUUUCCAAGAAUGCCCCUUCAGUUUUAUUGUAAAAAAACUCUUCAAAUUCAUAACAAUCAACUAAUUUUGUAAACACAAAAAACACACCCAAAAACCACAUCAAUAGCUUCGCCAUAGCUCUCUCUCUGUUUCUCUUUGUGGGUGUGGCCACACAAAUUUGGGGAAGAGAGAAAGCAAGGAGUAUUGAUGGAGUUUUUGUAAAUGUGAAGGUUUUUGUUCUUUUUUUAAUUGGUGUAAUGUUUUUAGCUUUAUGGGAAUAAUAACACGGAAAACACGAACAAAUGUUUAAGUAACAAUUUUGUCCCUCGGACAGAGAUUUUCAUGAAACGGUGUUUUUCUUCAAAAGAAUAUGGGUGGGGGGUGGGGGGUAAAUUCAAAUAUGCAAAUGUUACAUGGGAAUGAUGUAAUGAUACGACUAUUUGAAGAAAAUUGUACUACGAAUGUCAUUUUUUAAUAAAAUUUAUAUUUAUAUUUUAAAUGUGAAUUUUGAAUAUUGAAUAAAAAAAUGAGACUUUAUUAAAAAGUACAUUAAUUUACUAAAGAGAAGCAUAUCAGUAAAUAUGAAAAGCAAAAUGAAACAUUAUGACUCACAGUCGUUAAGUGAUUACGUUCACUUUAUUAAGGGUACAUAAUUUACUAGAUGGAUAGACUGGUUAUUUCUUCUUCUGACAUUAAGGAUGGUGUCCCUCUAUUUCAAAAUAAAUAUUUUUUGGGUGUGAUUAGUGAUAUAUUCCUUAAAAAUAUUAAUUAAACAAUAAUUUAUUAAUAUUUUUCUGAAAAAUUUUCUUAAAGUUAAACUUAAAAAGUCAAUAAAACCACUACUAAAGAAAGGAAUAAUUAUAAAAAAAAAUAAUUAGAUACAUUUUUGGACUUAAAAAAUGUUAGAAAUUUGUUUAUUUUAAAAUGCAUGGUGUAGGACAAUUAUUAAUUUUAAUUUUGAUUAUUUAAAGUAAUCUAAUUUAAGUUUAAGUGACUGCUAAUUUUGACGGAAGAGGUAGUACUUGUCAAAGUUUAAAAAUUAACAUAACACAACAUGCAUUUAAAUAUUUUACUAAAGUGGCAAUUAAAUUAAAAUAAAAUAAAAGAUAUGCAAAAGUUAAUUUGGAUACCAAAAGUAGUGAGAGAGGCACACGCAUAGAAUCUUAACAAAAGUAGGGCAAAUACUAGAAUGACUUGCAGUGUGCAAAUUGUUGUGAUCGACAAAAUUUUGGGUCACACUUUCCCACAUGACCUUGUUUUGGGUCAGCUGAUUCACCAAAACAAUUGAGAUUGUUGAUUCAAUAUAAAACAAGAUUUAUCGAAUCCGUAGUGUUAUAAAUAAAUAUUAGAAAUUAUAUAUAGUAGUGUUAUGUUUGUGAAAACAAAUAAAUAAAUAUAGAACUGUAACCUCAUGCACAAAAUAUCAUAUAAUAUAAAUAUACGAUGGUGAAUGGGUGUACCUCUUUUUAAAAAUUAGGUAAUGCCUCUCUAGUUAGUAUUAAUAGAACCGUUGGCUUCGAAAUUUUCAAGUCAAUCACAUUGAAAAAUCUUAAAUUUUUAGUAGUGCAAUUUUUUUUAUAUAAUUAAUUAAAUUAUAAAAAUAUGUAGAUUGAAACUAGUAGUAUCAGAUAAUAUGGCAUAUAUAAUCAAUUGAUUCAACCUAUCUCAAGACUUCUGAAAAUAUUUGGAUCUAUAAUUAUAAAAAAAAAACUAGUUUAAUGAGAAAAAUAUAAAUAUUAAAUCGAUUAAAAUUAUAUUUUAUAUGUAUUUUUUAGUAAUAGUACAUUCACACUCUUAAAAUCUUGAAUACGUCUCGUCUCUGUUAAUUACUAACAAAUGUUAAUACAUAAAUAAUUAAUUAAUCAAUCAUUUUUUAUUUUUCUCUAUCGAUGAAAUUAAAUUAAUUUACAAUUGUACAAUGUUGGAUAUAUAUACAAAAUAUACAGUCCAAUAAAUUUAUAUCUAAGUUGCACAGUUUAGUAUACAUCUACUAGUAUUUUAAGAAAAUUGAUUCAAACUACACCUCACAAAAGAAUGUUGGUCAUUAUAUAUAUAUAUAAAAAAAUUAAACAUUUUAAAUUGUCUCUUUAGUGUAAUUAAAUUACGACAUAUGUAACGUCAAAUUGAAUUGGUUAGUUCUAAUCAACUACAAUUACAGUAUUAUUAUUAAUAAUAGAGAAGUUAAAAUAUUUAUUAAGUACUAUUAAAUUUGUAUGUGAUAAAUAAAAAUAGAUCACCUAAAAAAAUUUAAGUCAAACACCCCCAACAACAGUACAUGGAAACCAAU